UUUUUGUUCUUUGUUCUUUAAUCUCACGGCUAACCCGGGGGUUUCGUCACAUUAACUUGCUUCACAUUAAGUCCAUCAUCACAGGAACUCACCAGCUAGGACCGUCCUUACGGGUCUACUCCAACCCGGAUGCCAAACUCCGGAGCGCAUCGCCCGAGGGGGAGCGACCGCCCUCGAGCACGGAACUCAUAGCAAGUAUGAUCAAUCCUUAACUCUAAGGAUAUGUUGUUGGAUCAUGGUUUUACACUAACUCUAGUGUUCUUUACAUCACUUUAUGUUGCCACUCUAGCAAUCAUUGUUCUUUACAUUUCUUUUACUUUUGCUAACUCUAGCAAUCACGUUUUUCACAUUCCUUUACUUUAAGCUAUCUUUAGCUUUCACAUUCUUUAACUUUACACGUUCUUUACGCCACAUUACAUUACAUUGUCUCUAGCCAUUAUCAUUAUUCUUUACACUUUGCUUCUUCUUUAUGCCACAUUACUUUACAUUGCCUCUAGCCAUUAUCAUUGUUCUUUACAUCACAUUGCUUUGCCUUGUCUCAAGCCAUUAUCAUUAGGUUCUCACAUUACAUCUCAUGCAUACACAUAGAUUAUUUAGAUUCUUAAUCAUUCUAAUAAGCACGUGUACUCACAUCAUGCAACAUUACAUUAUUAUCAUCACAUUGUCUUACAUUAUCUUUAGCCAUUAUCAUUAUUCUUUACAUCACAUUUAUUCUUUGAUGUCCCACACUAACUCUAGUGUCCACUUUACCAUUUCGAAUGCCACUCGAUCUAUGUUCAACAUGCAUAUAUUUGUCAUCCAUUGGUAGUCAUUACUUAGCAUUUUAUGCAUUCGUUAACAUUUACUACAUGCAUUCUCGGUUAGUACAAAUCUCAUACUUUCAUUUGACAUCUAUUUAGCAUUUCUAUAAUAUGCACAUAUAAAUUAACAUCAACUCAUGCAUUCAUUUGGCAUCUAUCUUUAUCAUGCAUUCUUAAUUAGCAUACUUUAUCAUGCAUUCUCAAAUAGCAUACUUUAAUCUUUAUCAUGCAUUCUUAAACAGCAUACUUUAUCAUGCAUCAAUAGUAAACAUACUACACUUUAGCAUGGAAAGCGACCUAAUCGCUUCGGUGAGCACAACCCACCUCAUUUCGCAUUCCGAUUGCUUGUCGACAUUUGCAAUCGGCCUCCCGCGGCACCCGGCACCCGGUUUGGCCCGAUCUCUCACGCGACCACCGAACGGCCUCCAAUUCACGAUCCGAAAAUUAAAGGUCUUCGGUUAUGUGCCACGAUGCUUCAAAUCCAUUUUCAUGAAUUUACGAUAUCGCCUCGGCCCUCCCGGCGGACCCGAAGCCUAAACGUUCAUUUCUUUAAUAACUUUGUAACGGCUCGUCGGAUCGCCGAACCGUCUUCGCCAACGCGUUCGUUUACCUAGCAAUUAGGUUUACGGAGGGUCAAAUUAGAUCAAACCCUUAUAUUUUACAAAACCCCAUUCGGAGCCCUAAUAUGCUAUUAACCUCAAAAUAAUCCAAAAUUAAAUGGAUCAACAUGCUAAAAAAGCUCAUUAGAGGCUAUUAGAAUACUUAAAGCUAAGGAUUAAGCCAAAUCCUAAAAGCUUACCUCAAUGUGAACGCCGCGACGAAAAUACGCCGCUCCAACGGGCGCACGAAAGCUCGAUCCGUCGCCUCCAAUGCGUUCGCAAGCAUCUUCUCCACCAACCCUCCAAUUUUUAGAGAGAGAUUUAGAGAGAUGAGAGAGAUCUCUAGAGAGAGAAAGGAGGGUUUCUUCCCCCCCCUCCAUGCGUGCGUGUGUGUGUGGCCAUGGGUGUGGUCGGCUGAGGAAGAAGCAAAAGCUUCUUUAUAAUACCCUCAACACUAUUCACUCCAGGCAGCUUAAAAUCUGAUAACUUUCGCCGAAGCUCCCUGAAUGUCCGUUUGAGCUCAAACUUGACAGUCAUGUUCGGUUUUACUUAACUUAACAAGCUGACGAUCACUGGUUCAGUUUCGACCCCGUUUGGUCACUGAAAACUGUACCGAACUGCAAUCUUUAUCAGAUAGCUUUCGGAUUUUAUUUCUCACUCUAUGGGUGUCAGAAAAAUAUGAAACCUUAAAUCUAGCCUCAUAAAAAUAUUUCUGACAUCUCCGCCAAUUUUCAUAAUUUUCUGAGACUGUGCAUUUUCUGCUUAUUUUUCUGUCCCGUCUCCAACAGAAAAUUCUAGAUCUUCUGUUUUAAUUCCGAUUUCAGCACAAGUCACCUCUGACUUAUGUUUUACCUCUAUAAAUCUAAUAAAAAUAGUUUCUCACACUAUUUUUAUUUAUUAUUAUUUUUAUACCAAAAUCUGGUAUAUUACAAAACCCAACCCAAAUCAAACUCAAAUCCAAAUCAAGUCUACAAAUACAACCCAAAUCAAACCCAAACUGAAACCAAGUCCAGAUAAAAAUCCAAACCUAAACCCAAAACCCAAAUCCAAACCUAAACCCAAAACCCAAAUCAAGUCCACAUAAAAAUCUAAACCCAAAUCCGAUCAAGUGCACAAAUAAAGACCCAAACUCAAAUCCAAUCCAGUCUACAAAUAAAUCCAAACUCAAAUCCAAUCCGAACCACAAAUACAACCCGAACCCAACUUCCAACUUAGACUCAUGAACCCAAAUUCCUUGAAUCAUGAACCAAAUUGAAACCCAAGUUCAAGAAUCAAAAACCCAAAUUCCUUGAGUCAUGAACCAAAUCGAAACCCAAGUUCAAGAAUCAAAAACCCAAAUCCAUGAACCAAAUGAACCAAGAUCCAAAAAUCAGAAACCCAAGUUCACAUACCAAAUCUAUGAAUCGCAUCCAAGUUCAUGAAACAAAUCCCAUACACCAAAUCUCAUGAACCAAACCAUACCAAAAUCUCAUGAACUAUAAAUCAAGUUCAUGAACCAAAUGAACCAAGUUCGCGAACCAUGAUCCAAAAAUCAGAAACCCAAGUUCAUGAACCAAAUUCCUUGAAUCAUGAACCAAAUCCCACAUACCCAACCUCAUGAACCAUACCCAUGAACCAUAAACCAAAUCCACGAACCAUACCCAAGUUCAUGAACCAAAUCCUAUAGACCAUGAACCAAAUCUCAAAGCUCAUGAACCAUAUACCCAACCUCAUAAACCAUGAACCAAGUUCAUGAACCAUGAACCAAGUCCAUAAACCAAAUCUAUGAACCAUACGCCAAAUCUCAUAUCCAUGAACUAAAUGAACAAAGUUCGUGAACCAUGAUCUAAAAAUCAAAAACCCAAGCCCAUGAAACAAACACCACGAACCAUAUCCAAGUUCAUGAACCAAAUCCCACAUACCCAACCUCAUGAAGCAUAAACCAAGUUCAUGAAUCAAGUUCAUGAACCAUGAACCAAAUUCAUGAACCAAACCUGUAAGGUACCGGACUUCUAAAAUUAUGAAGUUACGGUGUACAUUUGGUUGGAAAGCUAUUUGAAUAGUUCCGGGGAGGUUACGGUGAAGUUCGGAAGCAUUCGGGCAUUUUCGGAGCGCGUUGGCGCGAAAACGGGACGCGAAAGGCUAUGUUGGACCACGGACUAAAUCCGACAAAGGCGUGGAUGAAAAGAUGGUUUAAAUACGCUUGAAAACAUGUUUUGAGAGUCUCGGUUCGAUUUGAAACGAAUCGGAGACUCACGGAGCGAAAACGAGCGAAAACAGACCAAAAUUGGCGAAAAGGCUGAAAUUUUGGCUAAGUUUGAAAAUGCUGAUUUUCUGGACCUACGGGGUCCGAGACGCUUUUGCUUCUUCGUGAUCCGGCCACACCCAUGAGCCCGACACAUGCGCACGUUUGGAGUGGGGGGAAGAAACCUUGUUUUCUCUUUGUGGCGGUUUCUCCUCUAUCUCUCUAGAUCCAUCUCUCUAAACCUUGGAUGGUUGGUGGAGAAGGAUGCUUGUGAACGCGUUGGAGGCGACGGAUCGAGCUUUCGUGCGCCCGUUUGAGCGGGGUGUUUUCGUCUCGGCGUUCGCAUUUCGGUAAGCUUUUAGGAUUUGGUUUAAUCCUUUAUGCUUUAAGUAUUCUAAUGAUCCUCUAGUUUGCUUUUUUAGCAUGUUUAUCCAUGAGAUUAUGGGUUCUUUGGAUUAUUUUGCGGUUAGUAGCAUAUUAGGGCUCCGAAUGGGGGUUUUUGUAAAAUAUUUGGGUUUGAUCUUAUUUGACUCUCCGUAAACCUAAUUGCUAGGUAUUCUGACGCGUUGGCGAAGUCGGUUCGGCGAUUCGUCGAGCCGUUGUGAAGUUAUUGAAGAAAUGGACUAUUUAGGCUUCGUUUCCGCCUGGAGGGCCGAGGCGAUGUCUUAAAUUCAUGGAAAUGGAUUUGGAGCAUCGUGGCGGCAUAACCGUAGACCUUUAAUUUUCGGAUCCGUGAUUUGGCGGCCGUUUGGUGGUCGCGACUGCAGAGAUUUGGCUGUGCCGGGUGCCGGGUGCCGCGGGAGGCCGAUUGCAAGUGUCUACAAGCAAUCGGAGUGUGAAUUGAGGUGGGUUGUGUUUACCGAAGCGAUUAGGUCGCUUUCUAUGUCUAAAGUGUAGUAUGUUUACUAUUGAUGCAUGCAUAUAGUAUGCUGUUUAAGGUUGCAUAAGAUAAUAGAUAUACACGUAUGUUAUUUGAGAAUGCUUGAUAAAGUAUGCUAAUGCCUACGAAUGCAUGAUAUGUAUAGUUGCCACAUGAAUGCAUGAGUUGAUGUUAAUUUAUAUGUGACAUAUUAUGGUAAUGCUAAAUGGAUGUCAAGUUAACGUAUAGAGGAUUAUGUACUAAUUGAGAAUGUGCAUGUAGUACAUGUAUAUAUUAGAUCGAGUGGCAUCGAACCUAGUGUUAAUAAACAUAGGUCGAACACGAGUGGCAUCUAACCUAGUGUUAUUAAACAUAGGUUGAACAUGAAUGACAUUGAACCUAGUGUUAGUAAACAUAAGUUGAAUAAGUGAACCUAGAGUCAAGAUCUAGGUGAGUGGCAUCGAACCUAGUGUUAAAGAACAUAGGUUGUGGAUUAAACCUAGAGUUAAAGUAAACCUAGGUUAUGUGAUAGAGGCAUGAACCUAGAGUCAGUUGGACCUAGGGUGAAAAGGACAUCGGAUCUAGAUAGGUCGAUACUAUAGGGUUAGAGACCAACUCUUGAGUUGUGAAAUGGAUUUCGAAAUCCCUAGUGUUGUGACCGCAAAAAAAGCGGUGGAACUUGUGACAAGAUACAAGAGAUGGCAUUUAGAAUCAUAACUACGGGUAUGUGUGGGUCUCCUCGCCCGGCAGUGAUUCAACGGAUAUGUGCGGUUCUCCUCGCCCGGUAUGCCACGAGAAUAAUGACCCAACGGGUAUGUGUGGUUCUCCUCGCCCGGUAAAAGCUAGAAUGAGUAUGUGUGGUUCUCCUCGCUCAUUUAGCUUAUUGGAUGAUGCCGCCUAGAUUGAUUUGAACCAUUGCUGGGUAAGGGCGAUGUGGUCGCUGCCAGAUGACUAAGUCACGACUUGAGCCAUUGUUGGGUAUGAUGCGAUGAGUUCGUCGCCGGAUGGCUAAGUCAUGACUUGAGUCGUUGUUGGGUUCGAUGCGAUGAGUUCGCCGCCAGAUGGCUAAGUCAAGAGGUGCGGUGGGUUGUGACGGCAGCCAGGCUGAGGUGCAGCCAGUGCGCGGACUAUCCGCGGAUGAUUGACUCGAGACCGAGUCGGGUGGAUAGCUUAGUAGAGGUAGUAGAAAUCUUGAAAGCUAGUGAUAGAGGCAAGAGCUAAGGUAAUAGAGACCUUAGAAGCCAGUUGAACUCGAAUUGUGAACCUAAGGUAGUAGACACCUUAGAGAUGAAUGACAUGAGCUAAGACUAACCAAGUAAAUGUAGAAUCAAUAGAUCUACUAGGUGUUGCAUAUAUUCAUAUUGCAUUGUUGAAUAAAUUACAUAUGGAAUAGCAUUAUUGCAUUUGUGAGGCAAAGCAUGAUAUAUGUUAAUUGCAUUUAAAUUAUAAUUCCAUAUCUAUCUAUUGAACUAAUAUGUUCUUGCCUCCCUUGGACCUACUGGUCGAGUUUUUCCCUUGGGUGGCCGUACCUCUAGAAACCAUGGAGUUGAUUCUCACCCCACGUUGUUUUGGGGUGUUACAGGUUCGCACGUGAGCGGCGCGGCUGCGCGAGGCAAGGGCGUAGCUCCAUAGAUAGCGCCCUACCCCAGAGACCAGAGAUAGUGGUACCCCGAGUCGGCAUAGCCUAGGGGUAUAGGAAAGGAAAAAUAACACAAUAUACUAAAACUUGUAAAUAAAUGAUGUAGUAACUUGAUUGUAUUUGGAAGUCAUAAAAUGUAUUAUGCAAGUGUGAUGUAAAAAUGAAUCUAAUGGGAAUGCUUGUAAUAACAUAGGAUGUGUUAUGUUGUGUGAUACCUUCCUUAUGCAAUCAUUAUACGAAUACUGUUCCUGUUUGGAACCUUUUGUAUUGUACUGUUUGUUGAGCCUUGAACCGUAUAGGGGAGACUCUGUCCGUGAUACAGGGAAAACCCUAUCCGUUCGGCGCUGUCGGCAGUCCGAACCCGGCCAAAUUGGCAUGGGGCUCGGGGUGUGAUAGAAGGUGGUAUCAGAGCAUAAAGUAGAGAAUGGAAAAUGGUUUAGAUGGACCUAGGAGACCCUAGGAUAGUAAACCAUUGGAGAAUAAGGCUCGUGAGAGACGAGGACUUGCGCCUUAUGGCGAAAGGUUAAUUGAUAAACCUCUAAGACGGAUAUUAGAGGUAGACUCGAGGUGUGGCUUAUUCUCAACCGAGGGUGUUCAUGUUGGGCGUACGACAACAUGAAACCGAGUGAUGAGAAUAGACGCCCUUGCAUGACUUUCGCCCGAUUUGAGUCAAUGUUAAAUUGUUUCGUGCUCGACCUACAAGGUUGAGAACUGAUCGAGUUGCCCUGUUUCAGGAAGCGAUGGCACCGCGUAGGCGACCUUCGUCUAGAUCGAUACGGGGUGGGACAGGUGAUGUCCCUGAGCAAUCCGAGGCGGGUGGAGACCCGGUGCUCUGCUAGCAGAUGAGUACCCUCAUGGGCAUAGUGCUGCGACAGGAGGAGCAGAUUAAGGAGCUCCAUGAGUUGUUGGCACGGCAGGCUGUAGCGACUGCGCUGGUAGCAGCGCGCCGUGUAGCGACAGGAGUGGCGAUGGAUUCAGGGGCAGUGGUCCCUGGUUCUGUGGAAAUGGAGGCGGAGAAAGAGCGGGCUUUGGCGGCCCUUAUGACCUGCAAGAGGUUUGAUCCGCCUGUCUAUGAUGGAGAGAAUGUCGAUCCGUGGAUCGUGGAGAUGUGGAUUGACUCUAUGGAAACGCUCUUCGAGGAGCUGUAUACCUUGGAGCGGGACAAGGUGCCCCUAGCCGUGCACUGUUUGAAGUUGUCGGCAAAGGUGUGGUGGAAAGGUAUUCGACUAAAUCGAUUGCCUAGUCUCCCUUCUAUGGCAUGGGAUGAGUUUCGAGGAUUGGUGUUUUCGACUUACUUCCCCGACAUUGAAAAGAGAAAGCUUCAGGACAGGUUUAGGAAGCUGCGACAAGGAAACCGCUUUGUGAGGGAAUACCAAUGGGAGUUUUCCCGCAUCGUGAAUUGCAUCCCGUAUGUGGUACGGGAUGACAAGGAUACGGCCGAUUGGUUCCUGCGUGGACUUCGACCGGAGAUUUAUAAGGAGGUGCAAAUCUUCAAGCUCACAACCUUUGCAGAGGUGUUAGACAGAGUAUUGUGGGCAGAACACGGCGAAGCUUUCGUACGUGAGGAGCACGAGUCUUCUGAGCAUGAGCGGGGAGGGGUGAGGCCACUGUCGAGCGGUUCGGGUGGACAAUCAAGCUCUAGGCGCCACUCGAAAUCGUCCUCUACCCGGUCCUCCCCAGGAUGCGUGAUUUGUGGUGGUCCCCACUGGGCUCGGCGGUGUGUAUUGCGCGAUGGAAGGUGCCUUCGUUGUGAGUAACCGGGCCAUACGCGGGAAGAGUGUCCGCAAAGCGAUAGUCGGGCCUUAACAUUGGCGAUGGCCUUUUCCUCUCCAGGAUAGUCUGCAGGUGUGCCAACUGCGGCAUGGUCGGAAGAGCGGCCGUUCAGGAUGAUGCCACCGAGGGGUUCGCGGAGGGCAGUAAGUGGCCGUGGAUACGCGACCUAGGUGGAGGAACCUGCUACUACCGACGAUGUUAUGGCAGGUAUGAGUUAGUCAAGCAAGCGUAUGCUGCUACCUGAUAUCAAGUUGUUGCAUAGCAUGCAUGUUAAUGGGUGGUCAGUUGCUACUAUUUAUACAUUGCAUAGUAGGAAAUCAUUGGACGGGUAGGUAGAUACCCAGGCAUGCUUGCAUUAUGAGAGUGUGGUGCCUGCUGGAGCAGGUAGAGGGCCAUGUGGCACUAACAAAUUGUUAGUGAUGGUUCCUGGACAAGAAAUGCGACUCGUGGUGAACGUGAAAUAGUGAAGUGACUCUCGAGGCAAUGGGUAGUGGAUUGCGAGAGUCGAGUAGUGACAGAUAAAGUGGUAAGAAUGCCUGAGUAGUCCAAGGAUUCAGAUAUAGUUUCGGUAGAUCGAACACUGAAGGCGAACCACUGUUGCGAAAUUGGUUGAUUAGCGCCGAGUUUGGCCUGUGGGCCUAGUAGUACCUCGAAUUGAGGUAGGUGAGCAGUGCUCGUGUAGUCGGUGUGUAUAAGCAAGGUUGCCUAAUGCUUGACUUAGUGUGGGACGCUAUAGAGGCGUAUAGAGUGCUCGAGUGUGGGUACUCGUAGAGUGCGGUUUCGAUUCAGCCGGGAGAGUGAGUUGGCAGUAGCACUGUAGCAUUGCUAAGUGUGAAGCGGGCCAUGGAUCACUCGUAGGUCUGAUAGCUCGCACUAGGUGCAUAGGAGCCGAUAGUAGCAUAUGUGUGACUCGGUAGAGCAUGUCGUGUAGGACGACGACAGCGGGUAUUGCUUGGGGACGACCUAUGCCUGGACCAUUUGUGAAUUGUGGAGCCUGGGCCCUUUAGGCAGGCGCAGUCAGCUGUGAGUGACAGCGGCCCGGUACCUGUAGGUAGGGCUGAGUUUUGGUCAGGACGAUAGUCCGAGCUUGAACCCGGGAGCGUAGAAUGCCACGUGUUGGAUCUCGAGAUUAAGGAUACACCGAGUGUGUAGUGACCCAAUCUGAGGAUUUGAUGAGGUUUUGGGUCUUGGUUGCUCCUGGUUGGAGUGUGUACGAAUUCCCAAGUGAGAAUUUCGCCCGAUUAUGAUUGGGUCUACGCCAGUGAGCGAGAGACGCUACGCAUAGUUGAGACAAGCUUAGGCGGUAGGCCUACGUAGUAUUGGUGACCGUUGGUCCACCUGUGGAAGCCGACGUAAUCGGUUUAGCCGAUAACUCUGUGGAUGAGUUGGGAUUAGAUUCACGAACGGAGUGUUCGUGUGAGCUCGUUGCGACGGCGAAGUUGAGUUGGUCGUGGCUUAUGAUGGCAAAGGAUGAAAUGCUCUUGUGAGACAUUGAGCUAGUGGAAGCCACGUGAGAAUUGGAGCUUGAGGGUAAUGCUCUUUUGUGGAUUGAGUUGCAGAUGUGCCGGAGUUUGCCAUCUCGUGAUAGAGUAAGGAUCCGGUUGGGAUUGGAGCACUCGCGAUUGGUCGAUGCUCCAACGAUAUUGCUUCCAAGCAAUGCCGGUGAUCGAAUCGGAGUGAAAUUGUCACGCCCCAACCGCGCGGCCCGAAAACGGUACCAAUUUGGUCCGGUUCGAGGGCGGUGGCGCGACCGCCGAACGGACAGAGUUUCCCCUGUCCGCCCAAGGCUAAGCAACAGAUUGUGUACAACAAGUCCCCAGGAAUACAACUUGAAUACAUACACAAUCAAACCACGAUGAACGAGAGCACAAACAGUGCUACAACCAACAAGAGCAAGCGAUACAAGUAAAGCCAUACAAGUAUACAAAAGAGAGAAACUUAGCUAAUUGAGACAUCAUUGAAACGUUUAAACCUCUUUUAACAUCAUUUAAACUUUAAACUUUAAUACAACUUGCAUUCUUUAUCCAAAAUGAAUAUACAUCAUAAGCUCUCCAAAACCUCACCCUAUACAACAUCUACUCUCAAAAUGUAUAACCAAAAGUACAGGGUAGAGCUAAUGCAAGUAGGGAAGGUAAAGCUAUCAACCAACUGCUAAGGCGCUAAGCCCUUGCCGCGAUCCAUCGAUGAAGGUCCGCUGUCCUGUGUACCUGUACCCCCCAAUACCACACGGGGGUGAGAACUACGAAUAGUUCCCAGUGGGUUCGGCCGCCGACUCCGCCGAUCUACCCACUAGGUCUCAAGCAGGCAUAGAGAGAUAUAUAUGCAAUAUAUAUAUAAAACUAAGCUGAACGGAAAGCGGGUAUGUAAACAACUAUAUCAAGCUAUGCCUCAAUUUGGAAUCAUGAAUGCAUGAACAAUAAACAAAGCUGGGUAAGUAAGCAACUAUCAACAUCUACAACAGCUAUCAUAGUAACUAUAAAACAUGCUACUAGGUAAGCAAGUAAGCUGAUAUGAACAAUGAAUAGCUACUAUGAACAUCAAUCAUGGGUAAGACUCAAUAGGUAACCCAAUCUCCAAGUGAACACAAGGUCCACAAGCAAGGCUCACAUAUCAAUCUCCUAGGGAAGUCGAGCUGGACUAUCCCCGAGUACGCCUGCGGAUAACAAGCGGCUAUCCGAGCAGCAAGCAGGGCUGCCUCUCUAGUGACCAAACUCCGGAGCGCACAACUUGAGGGGAGCGACCCCACCAAGCGCAGACAGGCAAUGUGAGCAAGAUCAUCUCACGAGCAACAACAACAACCCCUUUGAGGGUAAUAUCAUCAUGGAAGCAAGGUAUACAUGUACCUAAUCUCAUAGUGUCUCAACUACACUAUUGUGAUCAUCUCAAGGAAACAUCAACAAUGUCAUUCAUCAUAGUUUUUCUAACUAGAUGCCACUUGUCAUAGUUUUCUAAACUAGAUGCCACUCGUCCAUUUGACUCAUUAUCAACACUAGUUUCAUCAUACUAGUUCUUUAGCAACAUAAGCAUAAUCAUCUCAUAUAGGGUUAAAUCUCAUCAUCAAACUCUAUCAUUUAAUCUCAUGCAUACUAGUUUAUAAAUCAUUCAAUCAACCACAUCUAUAGCUACUAGCAUGCAAAUCAAGCAAUCAUAAUAAAUCUUUAACCCUAUAAGAACAUGCACAAUAUGCAAAGAGAUCAUUAUCAAACUUAGACAUAGAGGGUGGCCCAAUGACUUCGGGAUGGCACUCUCCCACCUUAGGCGAUGCCGAAAACACUCCGAGACGCGUUCUCGGGCUAGUCUUGUCGCCGCUUAAUUUUUCGUUGGGUUAGCUUUAACCCUUUAGCGCAUCAAAUGGUGAUAACUUCGCGCCCACUCGUCGGAUCGACGAACCGUCUUCGCCUACGCGUUUAUAAGCAUAGAAAUUAGGUUUCUAACCACUCAAAAGAGAUCAAACCUUAAUAUUAGCAAAAUCCCCAAAUCUAACCCUAGGUUUAGCAACAAUAGAGAAAUCAUGGUUUCAAACUCCAAAUUUGGGAUUGAACCUUCUCUUAAGCUCCAAUGGUUUCCAUUUGAACCAUUCUUAAGCAACAAAACCCUUUCCAAAACCUAGGUUUAGCAAUAAUGAGGAAACCAUGGGUGCUAGCCUCAAUGUGAGCUAGAUCCAUCAUCCCUAAGCUCAUUAGGUUCCACUUGAACCAUUAAAAGCAACAAAAGCCAUCCAAACCCUAGAAAUCCAAAACUAGGGUUAAGGCUUACCUCUAGGGUUUGCUCCAAAGCAAGCCCUAAGCCAAGAAUGAGAUGAAGAAGAGCUUCAAAACCUUCUUCUCCUUCUUCUCCUUCCUUUUCUUCCUCUCUUUUUCCUUCUUUUUCCUUCUCUUUUUCUUCUCCUUCCUUUUUCUCUUCAACCGGUUAGAGAGAGAGAGGGAGCUAGAGAGAGAGUGAGCUGAGGAGAGUGAAAGAGGAGAGAGCUGUUCUAGGGAGACGGAUGGAACUUGUACCGGUACACGGUUUCUUGUACCGGUACAAGCCCUGCGCAACAGCGAAACAGNGAUCAGGAUUAGGAACGUGAGGGACGGGGUCUUUUGCGACUAUGUUGAGCGAAAGUAUUAUGAUUGGGUUAUACUUAUAACUCCAAAAUUGUUGGAGUUCGAUUAAAAUGAAUAACCUCUAUGUCCUUCCAAAAUCACGUUGGCGGCCGACAACGUGAUAUUGGGGAAUAGUGGGCGGUCAUUUCAUUACUUUCGCAUGACUGGGAUUUUAUAAUUUUGAGUGGGGCUACGAUAGCAUGGGUUGUUUUAACCUGUGCCUAUUUUGUUUGUUGCAGCUUGCAAUGUCAAAGAUGCACCCUACGGCGACUGAGACAUCCGACCCAGAAAGACGUGCACCUGCUGAAUUUAGCGAGGUUCGGGAAUUAAAAGAGCAGUACAUGGCUACUCUAGUUGGAGUGGUGGAGCGACAAGCGAAUGUGACGCUACUUCAAGCCGAGGCUUUGCGCCGACAGGAUGAAGGAAUCAGACGGUUGGAGACCCUCUUGAUCCAACAGACGGCUGAUCUCAAGAAAUGCCACGAGGUUUCGGAUCGUACUUUGACCGUGAGAAAAGGUGUGGAAUACACUGAAAGAGCCAAAGAGGCUACCAAGGGCGAUCAACUACAUGUCGGGGAAUCAUCAAGGAAACUAAAGAAGAAUCAACCUUGGAAACGUGGUUCUUUUUCUAAGCAAAGAAGAUUGAGUGGACGAUUACCUCGGCUAUGUGUAAUUUGUGGAGGUCCGCAUGUUCCCCCAAAGUGUCCUCAGCAGAAAGGAAAGUGUUUUGUAUGUGGUCAGGAGGGCCAUUUUCGCUCUGAAUGCCCCAGAAAUAACAUGUUGACUAAGGUAUCUGCACCGACUUUGUUGCAAAGAGUACCCAGUGGAGGUACGCCAACGAAAUCUUAGAGUCAGAUACGACGGCAGAGAUAACUACUGCAGGUAGUACUUUAUGCAAUGUUCCUAUGAUUCGAUAUGAUCAUAAUGAUUGCUUUAGUUGCAUCUUUGAUCGGCUGUUGGCUGAGUCGAAUAGCAUUAUUUCUUUCCUUAAUGCAUGUAGGAUUGAUUUAAUAGAAUGGUUUGAUUGAAACUUAGUUCUGAGAUACUUUGUACUAUGAUUUGUGCGAACUAAAUUGAUUCGCCUUGGAACUCUGAACAUUAUACAAUGCAUCUUGAAGGGUGUAACCUCGCUGAUUGCGAGAAUGGUCAUGUUACCUAAAUUAGGUAAUUAUGAAAAGGGUGGAGCCUAAUUGGCUGAUACUGUGGAAUUGUAAGAACACUCAAGUGAAGGGUAGUUCUUGAGUAGUGGUUGUGUGCUAUUUCUAAACAAGUCACAAAUUGUGAACUUGAUGAAUAGAGAAUGUUUUAUGCUUAGGGCUUCAUUUUGGUGAAGUAAUUUCACUUGUGGUGAGAUUAGAUGAGCUAUUCGACUAUGUGUCGAAUAUCGUGAUUUCAAUUAGAAACAUAAUUAGUGGUUGGAUUAACUCAAGAUCUGAUGAUCUUUUGAUCAGCCUUUAGUAUUGGAUGCAUGCUAUAGAUUGAGUAGCAAUCUGAGGAAGCUGUAGUCUUCUAUGAUAGAAAAAGGUUAUAAAGGAUUUAUCCAGUUGUUUGUUCGGUGAAUCCUGCAAGGCAGAUAAUGAUUGACCAGGAAGAUGAAUUAAAAAGAUUGAGAUAAGACUCUCCUAAUGGCACUAUGCAUCUUGGAAUAUUGAGAAAGAGAAGACCCAGCUACUUGUUUCUUUCUCUUCUGAUUCUAGUAACGUGUAAUCGGAAUUAAGCUUCAGGGAGCAAACUGCAUGAGGUUAGUCUUUGGAAAUUAAUAUCUUGACUGAUAGUUAUAUCAGGAUAAUUCUCAUACAGUUCGAAGGCAAAUGGUAAUGCUUCAAGUGUAGGUUAACGAAGACUUUGUUCAGAUUUCUUCCCCGGUGACGAAAAAAAAUAUGUAGAAUAAUAGCAAUAGAGAACUUAUGGGUGAAGUAUAAACUGAUUCCCCUUUUAUUGCCUAAAUUGGAUUUGGGACAAUAAAUACUUUGAGCAUCACACUCUCAGAACAGUAUCAAAGAAAGUUUAUCUGAAUUGAUCUACUUAUAGGAGCAGAUAGUGAUGUCACAAGUGAUUUUAGUAGAAGCAAAGCUCCAACUUAAGCUUGCAUAAAAUGAUUUGAGUAUAUGAGGAAAAUUUUCCAGUGAUGAAAUGGUCAUGAUUUACUUUAUGAUUGGUGUAAAGGAAAGCAGUAAAGAUGUAGAGACAGCAUUAAUGGAAUUUGUCUGAACAUAAGUAUUGAUGUGGAGCAGCAUCCAUUAAUGUGAAUUGGGAUUCUCGCCUAGUGGCAGAAUGAAAUAAGAUACUAAGGUAUUUGAAUAUAAUACUGAAUAGUUAAUCAGGAAUCCACCUUUAAUGGAUUGAUGGAUAAGCAAUUUCAAUUUGCCAUUGAAAGGGGACUACCAGGAAUAACUAGUUCGUUAUCAAUAAUUGCUGGAUAAUGCAAAAUAAUCAUUGAUGUUUGAUCACCUUGUAAAACACAAGUUGUACAUCAAAGGUAACCUAGGAAGCCUAUUAAAGAAUGGUUACGCUCUAAUUAUAUAAUCAAGACGGGACAAGUUGGGCUUCAGCCUCAACCUAUUUGAGAAAAUAGGAAAUGAAUUCCUCUUGGAAUAGAAUUGCACUGGGAGUGCAAUCUUUUAAAGAGUUUUGACUUUUGAGAAUCAGUGGAUGAUUGAGAAUUCUUUGGAACUCAAGAUAGGUACCAAAUGUAACUACUAAGCACUAUGGAAAAUGGUACCCUUGGAAUUCUUCUUAUCGAAUGAAUGAUUAGACCCCUACAGAUGAGCAUGAUGAGAAGGGUUGGAUUUUAUCCUCGAAUUAUUGAAAAAGUUGAAAUGGAAUUCAUGGAUUCUAUGGAUGAAAGAAGAGCUUUUUAUUACAAGACAGUGAUAUGAACUCAUGAACAAUGAUGGAAGGGAUUUCCCAUCCUAUUUAGAUGNUCUCCUCUUCUUCUUCUUCUUCUUCUUCUCCCUCUCUUCUUCUCUCUCUAAAAUGCCAAGGGUUGAGAGAAAUGAGGGAAAGAGAGAGAAGAAGGGCUCUCUAUAGGCUCUAAAGUAACAAAAUCCAUGUAAGCCCCUCAAAAAUCCAAAAUCACAUCAGCCCGGUCUGGGCAGUUUCCGCCCAGAGGGACCGGUCUCUCCCCAGCAGGGACCGGUCUCUCGCUGCGAACCCGAAAACCCAGCGUUCGGGAACCGGUCUCUCCCUGCGCGGGACCGGUCUCUCACUGCGAAGACGCGCUCGGGGACCGGUCUCGACUGCCAGGGACCGGUUGCCUCGCGGCUACGCAGCACUGUUCACUGGGGGACCGGUCUCUCAUUCCAGGGACCGGUCCCCGAGAGUAAAAACUCUCAGGACUUGCCAAAACUCUCGAGAUCGAACUUUUAGACCGGUAUACCAUCGACGGUCCUCCACCAAGUGUGGAAAAGUUCGGAAUACAAAUCGAACACUCGAACCCCGCACUUUGCAAGGGUCCAGUGUGCUACAUAGAGCUCAGAGGAAGGAUUUUGCACCUUUCCCACUUUCUCUCUCUAGGGUUUCUCUCUCUUCGAGUAGAAAUCAUCGAUUUGCGCCUAUUUCUCGCCGUUCGUCGCGCUAGUUGGUUUGUAGACUUUGGAGCAGCUACGAGGGGGUGGAAAGGACUCGCAUGGGAGGUAUUUUCGCAGCUCCAACUCUCAGGGAAGCUGAAUUGAAGUCUAAUGAGGUAAACAAGCUGGUUUCUAUCUCUAGUUUGAGAUUAGUGAUAAUUUUUGAUGUUGUUUCUCGAUUCUUGCUACCAUCUAGUUUAAGAUGGUUUAAAGCAGCAAUUGAGAAGUGGUUUUGCUGUAAUUCUUCAUCCCAAAGUCAGAGUUAAAGCCUUCGAGGCAAUUAAUGAGUUUUUUCUUUAUUUCGAUGAUGAAAACGAUGAUAUUAGUGAAGUCAUGAUGCGAUUUUGGGAUGUUUGCUUACAGCAGGUUUCCAAAUUAAUUUGAGCUGAAUUUGCGACCUUGGGGACUGGUUUAGAAGGUGUUCCAACUAAAGGUAAGCUGAAAUUGCUGUGAGGAAACUGAAUUUUCAAGAUUCCGACUAUAUCUAUUGAUAUUUGACGACUAUGAUGCCGUUUUGGAAAUUGUUCGCAGCGAGCUUGCAACGGACUUUCAGAGUAUCUCCGGCUGAUGUGUAAAGGCUUUUAGAAGCUUAACUUGAGGUAUUAACUGAGCCAAAAAUAGGAAUUUAAGCUAUUGCUUUGUACUAAGUGCAAUGUGUGCCGAAAUUGGAUAUUUCGGUCGUAGUUUGAUGCGCCUUUCAUGUUUCGUUUUCAGCAGAGUUGGGACUCCGUUGAGUAGAGUUUCGGGACUUCUUGUGGCUGGAUUGAGCUUCACAAUAGGUGGGUCGGAUCUUCCCAAAAUGGGUGAAUUUCCUCUAUGUCUCCUUUGACAUCUGAGUUGAAGUUAUUUCAUAUUCUUGUGAAUAUAUGUAUAGUUUAAAGCAAUGAGACAUGCACUGAUAUGUAGAUCAUAUCGGAAAUGAUAGCAUCUUUAAAUGGUAAUGAAAGAUUCAUGACUUGUCCAUUCUACAUGGUUACCUGUUAAGUACUAUGGAUUCAUGAUACUAGUAGCUGGCAUAUGCAAUUUGGCUUGAUGUUAUCCACGAGGAUAGAAUGGUAAGUUCGUGAAUGGACUAAUUAGUUCUGUUGAACAACAAAGAGAUUGAUGUAUUUAGGAUUGAGCUAUGCAAUGUUAUGUAUAAUUGCUAUACUCUGAAAGUUCAGGUAAAGGCCUUUGUUUGGCAUAUGCAUUUCUAAUUGUAGAAUGAAUGGCAUAGAGAUCAUGUGAAGAGUGUUUUAUCGCUUGUUUUACUUGCUUGCAUUACCUUGUUAGUUUCUACUUUCACAUGAUAGACUUGUAUUAUGGUAUAUGUUCUAGUAAGUAACUAGACUUUCAUAUGAUGGCAUAACUUGAAUGAUUAUUCAACUGAAUAUAAUCUAGUAAAUAACUAGAUUUGGAUAUGAUAACAUACUUGUAUAGUCAAGUAGAGAUUUAUAUUGGACUACAGGAUAUGUGCCAUGAGUCUAUGAACAGAACCUUAGUAAACCACUUUCCUUAUGUGUAAGGAGUAGUGAGAGAUUGUGAGUGACUGACCAGGUAUAGCCUGAUAGAAUCACUAGUGUGAUGUAAAGCUUUAACUUGUUAAGUUAUAUUAACGACUGGUAGAAUCUUGUCAACAAGUUGUUGAUAGUGACUUAUGAUUGGGUACUACAGUGCCGACCUUGGGUCGAGUUGAGAUUCCAUGUCAGAGACAUGAUGCUGUUGAGAUAUUUGUACCUUGGACUAUAGCUAGCAUGCCAUUAUGCUCUUUCGUACAUGCUUGCGGGGGUCGCGCCCCCCAAGCCCCGCGUUCCGGAGUGGCUUGAGUUGAGAUUCCAUGUCAGGGACAUGAUGUUGUUGUGAGACUGGUACUGUGGACUACGGCUUGCAUGCCAUUGUGCGCGUUUGCACACGCUUGCGGGGUCGCUCCCCCCCAAGCCAGCACUCCCGAACAGCUUAGCGACAGAUGCUCGCAAAUGUACGAAGUGAGCGCCGAAAUGGAAUGCCGUGGGGGAGGCUCAUUCCUAGAGUGGGGAUGUUGACUACCACGGGGCCAUUAGGCACGGCGCGGCUUGAACUUACCUUGUGUAAGUCCGUUGGAAAUUGGGUUAUGUCAAGUACUUUAACCUUAGCUGGACAGAGUAGUAAAGUUACUAUAUGUCUUGGGUUAAGUGAACUUAUUGAUGAACAUACUAGAAAGUUGACAUCUAAAGUGAGCUUAGUGAUGAACAACCUAGAAGUUGACAUCAUGAUUGGUUAGCAACAUAAUGAAUGACAUUAUGUCUCUUUCUUGCUAUGGAACAAGGUAAUUACAUGAUAUCAUCUGUAAUUUCAGUAAAGUGAAUUAUCUUGCAUACAUUCUGAUAUAUGUUUGGUUAAAUUGUCAAGUAAUAUGAUUGAUAGAAUCUAUCAUGAUAACUGAUACCUGCAAUCUAUUGUUAUUUAUUUAUGGUUGAGCAAAUAGCAUGAGUAGUUUACUUCCAUAUCUGUUGCAUAUAAUUGCUUAUUGUAUUAUCUGCAUUUACUCGCUUAUUUAUUGCUAUCUACUCAUGCCACAGUUGACCUAGUGGUGUACUUCGCCACUCUCGGCGGCUUACCCACUGGGAACUAUUGUUUAAUAGUUCUCACGCCCUCUUUGUUGUUGUUUUUUUUACAGAGCCUUCCACAGCGGGAAAGGCUAGGGUUCCUGGCGAGGGGUCAGCGACUAGCUAGAGCCUUUUUGGACGUGUACUAGAUCACCUCCAGCAGUUUAUAUAGUUUAGUACCGAGAUGUAUAUUAAGUUAUUGUAAUUGUACUUUAUUCUUAUUUCCUGUUCUAAGGCUUGGAUUGUAUAAGUCUAAACUUAUAAGUCUUGCUCUGAUUACCUAGUUGAAUUAUAUGCUUUUACUAUAUGGUUUGUAGACGCCUUGUGUAUACUUGCGUUGUGGUGUACACGGCGGGUCUGUGCACGCAACCGGAUAUGCUCCGCUGGUACCCGGGCGUGACACAUAUAAAGUGUGGUAACAAUUGCACUUAGGCCCCUCCACUGUUUCCCAUUUAACUGUCCAGACUGGGCAUUUUUCGCUGUCGGGGACCGGUCUCCCCGACCAGGGACCGGUUCUCGAACGUGGGUUUUCCAGGACUUAGCCAAUUUUCUGGCUUUUUCAGCUGCUGCGCGGCGAGGGACCUGUCUUUCCCUCAGGGACCGGUCUCCCGAGGACCGGUCUCAUUGCCAAGGACCGGAUGCCUCAGGAUUUCCUGGCAGGCUACGUGUACGGGGACCGGUCCCCGAGAGCACAAAAUCUGGAACUUCGCCAAAUUUUGAAAUCUCACUCUCUCGGGUCCCUUUACACCAUAUAUAGGCUCCAAUGCACAUAGGGCCUAUACCCACUCGUUCCACUCCGCGUUCUGCUCGUUGCGACGGAACACGGCACGAUUUAUGAGGGAUGUGGUAUGUUACAUUCUCCACCCCUUAAUUUAGUUUCGUCCGCGAAACUACUAAGAUUGAAAUUUAAAUUUCAUACCUCACUUUAGAUCCUCGAAAAGGUGAGGAUAACGCUCCCCCAUUUCGCUUUCGAGCUCCCACGUUUCCUCCCGGUCAUCGUGUUCGCACCAAUGGAUUUUAACAUGCGGAAUUUCGCGGUUCCGAAGCUUUCGCACUUCCCGAUCGACAAUAUACGCCGGGAACUCCUCAUAUGUCAUAUCCUCUUGAAGCUCUAUCGGUAUAUACGAGAGGAUAUGGUCUGGAUCGUACACAUACUUGCAGAGUUGGGAUACAUGGAAUACAUCAUGUACUCCCGUAAGCCUCGGUGGUAAUGCCAACUUGUAGGCCACCGCGCCAACUUGUUCCAAAAUCUCGAAGGGUCCGAUAUAGCGAGGACUUAGCUUCCCGCGAACACCGAACCGCUUAACUCCUCGCAUCGGCGAUACUUUUAGAAAUACGCGGUCUCCUACCGCGAACUCGAUAUCCUUUCGCCGCUUGUCGGCAUAACUCUUGUGCCUCGAUUGCACCGUCAAUAAUCUUUGUCGGGCAAGGCAAACUUUUUCUUCCGCCUCCCGCACCACAUCCGGGCCAAGAACCAUCUUCUCGCCCACAUCGCUCCAGUGUAUUGGCGAGUGACAUUUCCUUCCGUACAGGGCCUCGAAUGGCGCCAUCGCAAUGCUUUCUUGAUAGCUAUUGUUGUAUGCGAAUUCCGCCAUCGGUAAGUGAUCGUGCCAUCCGCCCUUAUAAUCAAGCACACACGCUCGAAGCAUGUCCUCAAAUAUUUGAAUAGUCCUUUCCGAUUGACCGUCACUUUGAGGAUGGAAUGCCGUACUAAAAUCGAGCCGCGUGCCUAAUGCAUUUUGUAAGCUCUUCCAAAAAUGAGAUGUGAACCUAGGGUCCCGAUCCGAUACAAUAGAUACCGGAACCCCAUGAAGUCUCACCACCUCGUCAAUAUAGACUUGAGCCAACUUGUCUCCCGACCAAGUAGUGUGGAUCGGCAAAAAGUGUGCCGAUUUUGUCAACCGGUCCACAACUACCCAAAUCGCGUCAUGUCCACCUUGUGAUCUCGGCAAACCUGUCACAAAGUCCAUUGCGAUGUUUUCCUAUUUCUAUACGGGUAUAGGUAGACUUUGCAAUUUUCCCGCCGGAAAUCGACGCUCCGCCUUCACUUGUUGGCACGUGAGGCACUGCGCCACGAACUCUCCUAUAUCUUUCUUCAUGCCCGGCCACCAAUAAUGCAAUUUCAGGUCUCGAUACAUUUUGGUGCCGCCCGGGUGGAUGCUAUAGGGAGAUUGAUGUGCUUCUUGUAUAAUCGCCCUCCGAAGACCGUCGUCCUUGGGCACGCACCAACGAUCCCGAUACCGUAGUGUGCCGUCGAUUCCAAUGCCAAAAUCAUCGGAACUACCGCUCUCAACUUUGCCCAGCACUUUUUGGAGAAAUUCAUCCGAUGUUUGUAAUCCUUUAAUUUUCUCCAACAAGGUUGGUUGCACAACUAAGGUGGCAAGUGUUGCCGGCACUCCCGGUGCCACAACUUCUAGACCAAACCGCUGCAUCUCCUUUUGCAAAGUCGGUUGAGGUGUAAUCUCCGUUGCCAAAUAUUUCGCCGACUUUCUACUUAAAGCAUCGGCCACGAUGUUCGCUUUCCCAGGGUGGUAGAGAAUCGUGACAUCGUAAUCCUUGAGCAACUCUAACCACCGCCGCUGUCGCAAGUUUAGCUCCUUCUGGGUGAACAAGUAUUUGAGACUCUUAUGAUCAGUGUAGAUCUCACAAUGUACCCUAUACAGGUAAUGCCUCCACAAUUUUAGCGCGAAAACAACCGCCGCUAGCUCAAGAUCGUGAGUUGUGUAGUUCUUUUCAUAACUCUUCAACUGGCGCGAAGCAUAGGCUAUGACUCGGCCGUUUUGCAUUAAGACACACCCGAGACCGACGUAUGAAGCAUCACUGUAUAUGACAUAACCCUCUCCCGGCGUCGGUAAAGCGAGCACCGGAGUAGAGGUCAGUCUAUUCUUUAGCUCCUCAAAGCUCCGCUCACACUCGGGGCUCAAAAUAUACUUCACCCCUUUGUGCGUAAGGCGCGUUAGUGGAGUCGUUAUCCUGGCAAACCCCUCAACGAACCGCCGGUAAUAGCCCGCAAGUCCAAGGAAGCUACGAAUCUCCGCUACACUUGUCGGGCGAGGCCAAUCCUUAAUCGCCUCCACAUUCUUUGGGUCCACCAAGAUGCCAUCUCCAGAUACAACGUGACCCAAGAAGGUAACCUCCAAAAGCCAAAACUCACAUUUCUUUAGUUUUGUGUAGAGCUUUUCCUUUCGGAGUAUCUCCAAUACGAGCCUUAGGUGCUCAUCGUGUUCCUCUUCGGUCCGAGAAUAUACCAAUACGUCGUCAAUGAAUACCACGACGCACUGGUCCAAUAGCGGGCGGAAGAUUCGAUUCAUUAGGUCCAUGAAUGCUGCCGGGGCGUUAGUGAGCCCGAAUGGCAUGACCGUAAAUUCAUAGUGGCCAUAUCGCGUACGGUACGCCGUCUUGUGCACGUCUUUGGGCCGUAUCUUCAACUGAUGAUACCUCGACUGCAGAUCAAUCUUUGAAUAUACCCUUGACCCUUACAACUGGUCGAAUAAGUCAUCAAUUCUCGGCAACGGGUAUUUAUUCUUGAUCGUCAUUCUAUUCAACUCGCGGUAGUCAACGCAGAGUCGGAGUGUGCCGUCCUUCUUCUUUACAAAUAGCACCGGAGCUCCCCACGGGGACACGCUCGGCCGUACGAAGCCCUUAUCGAGCAAGUCUUGCAACUGGGCUUUCAACUCUUUUAGCUCCACUGGUGCCAUUCUAUAUGGAGCCUUCGAAAUUGGCGCCGCCCCGGGAAUGAAGUCAAUAACAAACUCGACUUCCCGAUCUGAGGGCAGUCCCGGUAACUCCGCUGGGAAUACAUCCGGAUACUCCCGCACAACUCGAAUACUUUCCAGUUCCGGGUACCCCUUUUGAGGGUCUACGAUGGUCGCCAAAUAAGCCUUGCAACCACCUUUGAUCAUUCUCUUCGCCCUCACCGUCGAUAUAGUUGCUGCGAAGCGUUUGCCUUUACACGCCCGGUACACAAACUCCUCUUGGUUAGGCUCACAGAACGUGAUCACCCUUCUUUCGCAGUCUAUAACCGCGUAAUACUUGGAGAGCCAAUUGAUCCCCAAGAUUACCUCGAAGCCCCACAUUUCUUUUAACACUAGAAGGUCGAUCGGCAUAAUCCAAUCACCUAUUUGCACUGGGCAGUCCAAGCACUCAUCGUAGACAUUGAACGAGUGCUCAGGAGUGUUCACCGACCAAUACUCCUCAUUAUGAGUGAUCUCUAUAUUAUGAGCUUGUGCAAAUGAUGCUAAUAUGAAUGAAUGAGAUGCACCCGUAUCGAAUAUGGCUCUAGCUCUAGUGCCUCUGAUAAGAAUAAUACCUGCCACCACGUCGUCGGGAACUAUGAUCGGCUGCUCCUCCACCUGAGUGGCAAAAACCCGCCCACUAGGUGCUCGAGAAGCCUCCGGCUGACGAGGCGCCGACGAUCGUCCAGCAGAUACGGCGGGUGGCAGUCCCGCAAGCUGUCGGGGUGCAUACUGAGCUGAGGCUGCCGACGGAGCUGGGGACGCGCCGCCUGGGCACUCUCGGCCAAUGUGGCCCGCCUGGCCACACCGAAAACACCGCCCCUCUCAUGGUGGGCAAGCGGUAACCCGGUGGUCUUCACCGCAGAUCACACAUGGAUAGGUGAUACGGCUCUGGGUCUGACUCCUUCCUCCCCGCCACUGUGAUCGCACCAGCCGGUCACUUCUUGAUCUUAUCUCUUUCCCUGUCCUUCUCAAAAGUCUCGCGCUCAUCACGCGGGAUGGCAUUCCCGCGCUCCACCCAAAGCGCGCGAUCGAGCACUUCCUCGUAGGUCUUCAAGCGGAAUGCAUGAAUAACCUUCAAAAUCUCGGGUCGCAACCCACGCUCGAAUACUUCCGCUCGGUCCCUAUCGUCAUGAACCAAGCCCGGCACACAGUUAAUCAUGUGCGUGAAUUCCCUCUCGUACUCCCGCACUAAUCGGUCUCCUUGCCUUAGCUUCCGAAAAUCCUCCUUGAUUUUUGUUUUGUCGCUCUCGGGGAAAUAUUCCAUAAGCUCAUCUCCCGAAACACCUCCCAAGAAAUAAAAUGGUGCUCUAGCGAGCAAUUUCUCUUCGCUUGAUUCCACCACAACCGGGCUGACCCAUCGAAAUAAUGAGCUGCAAGGUGAACUUUAUCCUUUUCGAGGGUAUAGAUAUCCUCGAACAAGGCCUCCAUCGUGGCUAGCCAACUCUCCGUCGUCCAUGGGUCUUUCACAUCCCCGUUGAAGGUCGGAGGGUUGAAUCGCUUGAAUGUCGUCAGCGCCGCCAACGUGCGCUUCUGCUCGGCCUCGAGUACAUCGGGAAUAGGAGCCGAUGAACCCGAUGCCGUCGGAGGAAUGGCCGUCACUGGUGCUGCCGCCAUCGCAGGAGGUGGUGCUACAGGAGCAGCAGGUGCGGGUGGAUCCCUCGGCACUGAUGCCGCCUCUACCUGUUGCGCCAUCAUCUCGUGGAGCCGUCCAAUCUGCUCCCCUUGCUGUCGCAUAGCCCCGGCCAAAGCCACUACCUUGGCUCGCAACUCACGCACUUCGUCUGACCCCGACUGCUCGGGCUCCUCCCGAGGCUCCGCCGGUGUGGACCUCGUGACUCUCCUUGGCGGUGCCAUCGCGUCCUGAAACGCAAUGCACACACACAUUAGCACUCGAAACACGUGACUCUUACACGUUCCAAAUAUCUACCCAAUUAAGCGAAAGCAACAAGCAUAAUCGUUUCCACUCUUGGUGUCAUGUGGUCGGCCGCCCCACAAGGUCCCUUAAGUAGACAACAAUUAAGCCUUCUAAUCCAUCUCUACCUCCUUCUAGAGAAGUGUUAUCAUUGACCCAAUCACUCGCUUUCGCAAAAACCAAGUCCUCGUUAAACGUUUUCCUAAGUCCCUAUGGUCCCCAACCUAUGGUUUCUAGGUCAUUCCUAGACUUUUGCUUUCCACUUCGCUCUGACACCAUUAUAUCUGUCACGCCCCCAAUCCCCGCCAAUUUGGUCGGGUUCGGGUCACGUCAACAGACGCUGAACGGACAGAGCCUCCCCUGUCUGUCCAAGGCUCUUACAACAUGUAUAAAUAAGCAAUCAACAAGAGAUUUUCAUAUAUAAUACAAGGCUUGCACGAGGGCGAGCAACAACGGAAGCGAAAGCUCUAAGCUACAUCAUAUAACAUACAAGAUACUUAAUUGCAUUUGAACCAAAUACAAGUAAAUAAAACUAUUACAUUUCCAUUCAACCAUCAGUUCUUUUUACAUUUAGCCAUCCACCAAAAUUACAUGAUUGUUUACAACUUUACAUUUCUAAAUCAACAAAAUAAAGUUGAUGCAUGUAUACCAAAAGGGAAAUGGCUAUAAAAUAGGAAAAGUCCCGGUGGCCGCUAUCUACGGCGCCAAACCCUUGCCUCGGUCCUCCGCCGCCCCGCUCGUGCUAGGACCUGUAGGGUUAGUGGUGUGAGAACUACAACGAAGUUCCCAGUGGGUUCGGCAUUCGAUCUCGUCGGCUUACCCACUAGGUCUAUCCAGGCAUAAGAAUUUCAAGGAAAGAAAAGUAACCAGUUCUAAUGCAACUAAUACUAUGCCUGCAAAAGAAUGUCAGUGGAUACAUAUACUCGAUGCAAUAAUAGAAAAUGCAUGCAUGCUCAAAUCAUAAUAAGCUUUGGCUCUUACCCAAUCUUACCGGUUAACCUUGUUAACCCCAAUAACUCAUAACCCAAAUCCCUUUAUUACCGGGGAGGCUCCAAGCACUACCUACCCGAGGGACCGUCUUCAAGGACCGCGCUCCCUGUGGUGACGAUUUUCGGAAACGCACCGCUUGAGGAGAAGCGACCUCCCUCAAGCCAAAACUUGUCAUGAGUGUCGAUCAAAUUCCCAAGUUGAGGAUAUUUAGUCGCAUGUCACAUUGCCACUUUUGUGAUAGGUUUUCUACCUAUGUUCUCAUGCCACUUACUAGUCGAUCUCGUCCAGAUGCCACUAUAGUUAAGUCUAUGUUUAACAUCCAUUUGUCCAAGUCAAUCUAUCUCUCUAUUGUUAUUGUCACCAUUUGUUUACUUACGCUAAGUCCAAGUCCCACUAUCAUGCAAUUCCUAGGGUUCAAUAACACAUGCCCAUCAUGGUUCCAUUUCUCUCUAUUUUCAAAUACUCUUGGAAUAAACAUAAUGAAAACAACCAAAGUUCACAUGUGAAUUAACCCUAAUAUGCAUGACGGAAUAAACAACCAUGUGCUCAAGAACAGAGAAAUAGACAUAGAGGGGAAUCCAAUGAUUCCGGCGUGCACCCCCCACCUCUAAUGGUUGUGUGGGUGUAGAAUACGAAGACUCCCGAACGCUACGAACGCCAGCUCUUCGUCCUAUAACCAAAUUAGUACCCUAUUAGGUUGUUUAUACACGAACUAUAAUUAAACAUUUUCGUAACGUUGAACGGAGUUGUCCAACGUGUUUAGGACACCCCCAAUUAGAUUUCUACGGUGUCAAUUUGUCCCCGAAAAAUCCUAGGGCAAAAGCCCCAAAUUCCAAGCCCUAACAAUGCCAUUUAGGGUUUCCCCUUGGAUUGAUCUCAUUGCUAAGCAAAUACUAGCUUAGAAUCACCUAGGAAGCAUUCUAAUAAGGUUUAUAGAACUUUGGUACCAACCCUAGGGCUUCUAACCCAACUUCCAAGGGUUUACCAUGAGAGCACCUUGAGCUCUCAUGGGUUCCUUGUUGUUCAUGGCUCAAAAGAGCUUCUAAAGCCUCUAAGGAGCACAAAGCUCCAAAUCCUUAGCUUAAAAUCCAAACCCUAGAGGAAACCUUGCAAGAACUCACCUCUAGUCCAAGCUCCACCAAGAUUCUUUUUGUUGGAGAGCUCCUAGAACCGCCAAAGCACCAAAAUCCAUCUUCUUCUCCAAAUUCUUCUUCUUCUUCUUCUCCAAAUUCUAGAGGAGUUCUAGAGAGAGAAAGAGAGAAAAUGAGAGAGGAGGAGAGAAAUGGCUGUGGGAGAGAGGGGAUGGCCCAUAUAAAGUGUGGUAAGAAUUGCACUCAGGCCCCUCCACUUGUUUCCCAUUAAACUGCCCAGACUGGGCAUUUUUCGCUAUCGGGGACCGGUCUCCCAGACCAGGGACCGGUUCCCGAACGUGGGUUUUCUAGGACUUAGCCAAUUUUCUGGCUUUUUCAGUUACUGCGCAACGAGGGACCGGUUUUUCCCUCAGGGACCGGUCUCCCGAGGACCGGUCUCACUGCCAGGGACAGGAUGCCUCAGGAUUUCCUGGCAGGCUACGCGUACGGGGACCGGUCUCUCCUUCAGGGACCGGUCCCUGAGAGCACAAAAUCUGGAACUUAGCCAGAUUUUGAAAUCUCACUCUCUCGGGUCCCUUUACACCAUAUAUAGGCUCCAAUGCACAUAGGGCCUAUACCCACUCUUCCACUUCGCGUUUCGCUCGUUGCGACGGAACUCGGCACGAUUUACGAGGGAUAUGGUAUGUUACAUUAACACUAUGAUGUGAACAUAGGGAUAGAGGAUUUCCCGUGUUGUUAAGAGUAGCAUUUGAUAUUGGUGUAAAGAGACACUUUGAUGCAUUGAACUUAGGGAUAGGUGAAUUUCCCUAGAAGUGACAUGAUGCAUGAUAACCUUAGAGUAGUUGAAACGCUAUCGUGAUGAGUAUAGUAGUACACUGAUUCCAUGAUGAUGAUAACCCUAUUUUGUAGGGUAUCCUCAGUUUACGAGGAUUGGAUCGUACUCACAUAGCCUGUCUGCGCUUGUGGUGGUCGCUCCACACAAGCUGUGUACUCCGGAGUAUUUGUCACUCGAGAGGCAGCCGUUAGCUGCCCGGACAGCCGCUAGCUGUCCGCAGGCGGUCUCGCGGUAGUCGAGCAGUGGGACUUCUCCCCUAUGAGACUUUAAAGACGUGAGAUUGAGGGCGACCUUUCGGGUUAGCCAAGUGAUUGGGUAACAAACUUAUGAGCUAUAGUGAUGUCCUAGUUGAGGGGAUUUAAGGCCGAGGUGUAAGUGAGACAUCCUUCGCCUCGAGCCUGGCUUUGUGCAGUACUCCACCGACGAUUGACUCAAGACCGAGUCGGGCGGUUAGCUUUGUAAAGGUAGAUGAAACUUUAUGAUUAAAACGGUAAAUGACAAGAAUCUAAGAUAGAGGAAACCUUAAAUGUCAAUUGGAUGAACUGUGGUUAGCAGGAUUGAAAGUAGUAUCGAAUGAACUACUAGUUGAAUGUAUAGUUGCAUUAUUGUAUGAUUUGCAUAUAGCAUGAUAUUGUUGCAUUUGUGAGGCAAAGCAUGGUAUUGUUAGUUGCAUAAUUUAAAUAUCAUAUCUAUCUGUUUAUUAAACUAACCUGUAGUUGCCUUCUUUGAACCUGUUGGUUGAGCUUUUCCCCUGGGUGGCCGUACCCACUGGGAACCAUGGAGUUGGUUCUCACCCCACGUUGCUUUGGGGUGUUACAGGUUCGCACGUGAGCAGCGUGGCGGCGCGAGGAAAGGGCGUAGCUCCGUAGAUAGCGCCCUACCACAGAGACCAGAGUUAGCUGUACCGCGAAUCGACAUAUCCUAGGGGUAUAGAGAUGAAAAGAUUAAUGUAUCGAAUUUGUAUUGAAUAAAUGAAAAGAACAAGAUGUACUAAACUUGUGAAUAAUGAUGUAAUAGCUUAGAUUGCAUUUGGUUGGAAGUAAAAGAAAAUGUAAUUGAGAUGUAAAAUGCGUAAAUGUGAAUGCUUGUAAUAACAUAGGAUAUGUUUAUGUUGUUGAUACCUUCUUUUAUGCAAUCAGUGUAAGAAUACUAUUCCUAUUUGGAACCUCUUGUAUUGUACUGUUUGUUGGGCCUUGAAUGUACAGGGGAGACUUUGUCCGCAGUACAGGAAAAACCCUGUCCAUUCGGCGCUGCCAGCGAUCCGAACCCGACCAAAUAGGCGGGGCUUGGGGCGUGACAACCCCAGUGAGCUCUUUUCACCCCUUCUUCACAGAGAACCCAUAAUUUGCAUUCUAACCCUUCUAAACUUCUCAAAUUAGUCCAAAUUCCACAAUUUCAGCUUGAGGAUUGCAGUUAUAGCAUAAUUCCAACAGCGACCUUCGGCGUUUUGGCUUGUGUGCGACGUAGGAGGCUCCGUUUGCCAUGAAAUUUGGUUUGUUGGUUAGAAGACUUCCUGAAGAUUUCAUGGAACCCUGUUUGACAAAAAUUGAUUGAGGUUUAUAUAGUCAAUUUCGUGUUUUACUGAGUUGUUGGUGCUUUGGUCCUGAAAUUGAGUUUUCUUUGAUUGUUUAUGGGCCAAUUCUUGGAGAGAGCUAGAUUUUCGACCAGAGAGAGAGCUGGAUUUUCGACCAGAGGAAGUUGCUCCACCUUUCCUACUAGUUUUGUGAAUGUUCUUCACCAGAAUUGUGGAUUUGGGGAUUGAUAGGUGAGUUUUGACAUUGUAAUUGGUGGAUUUAAGCUUAAGUGCUGAAAUUUGAGGGUGUUGAUGUAAUUUUGAUGUUUUUGUAUUUAGAUCUUUGGAGGAUGCCGGGUUUUGGACCUGAGGGUGAUACUCCAUCAUAGUUCACUGGUGUUGGGACCUUUUCUCACUUGAUUUGGAGAUCGGAAGGUGAAAUCGACAUUGAGAUUAAUGUGAAUUUGAGCUUUAGUGCUGAAUUUUAUAAGAUUGAUGGAAUUUUAUUAUUUUGGGUGUUUAGAGCCUUGGAGGAGUUUAGUUGCUGGUUGUGGGUGAUUUCAGCUAAGGUUCCCAGCAACUUCGUGAUCUUCUCACUGCCGUGGAUUUGCGCUAGAGGUAGGUUAAAGUGAUGCUUACCGGAUUUUCGCGGAUUUCCUCCUAAGUUCUAUUGCUAGCAUGUAUUAGUGGAUUUUGCGUAUCAUAUUUCGUUGCUUCAUUCGUUUAUUUAUUGUGUUCCUAAAUUUGAAUUGGAGCUUAGAAUAUUAGUUAAAUAAUACAUGUUGGAUUUGGAUUUGACUUAGGAGAAAACUGGCGCUUUUACACUGUCACAUGUUAAAACUACCAGAUUUUGCUCUAGAAGCCGCAGUUGUUUGUAUAACCACAGUUUGUGGGCGGUGGAUACCCAGGAUAGUAUAGAAUGUAUUUACGCUCAUGCUCGGAUUCUGAGCUUAUUUUUACAACAGUGUUUUGGCUGUUCCGGACUGUCGGGUGCCGUUGGGGUUGACAGUGGACCCAGAUUGUUGUUUUUGCAUCGGAUUGUGCCGAGAGCACGUGAGUUUGGCUGUUAGACUAGUCGGACCAUGUUUACUUGACUAUAGCAUGUGAGAGCCUGAUUGAGCUCGACAGAGACACGUUUGCAUACUCGGUUCGGUAGCGCCCAGGAGUGCCACUCCGGAGUCGGGCUUUGUGCGUUUGCGUUGGUGUCGUUUUGUCCUGGUUGGACUUGCUCUCCACUGACGACCUAGUGUAAUGGCUGUUAGUGUAGCUUCGACAGGCGGGACGGGUGUGUUCAUAAUCCCUAGUGAGAUUGGGUCAGAGACUGCAUUAUUCUAUAGAUAGUAGUGUUGGAUCAUGAUAAUAUAGUGGCAUGUAGCUGUAGAUUGUUUCCAGUUUCUUUACUGUAACAUAUUGAAACCUCGAGAGCGAUUAUUGAACUUUACCCAAAUUAGUUAAAGUUGUCGAGAGAAAUGGUUGGACAAGUUCUAUUUAGCAUUCCAACAGUGUUGGAAGGGUUAAAGAUGAGUUUAAAAGAGUUGGAAAGGUUUUAGCAUUGUUCGGUGCGAAAUAGAAUCGAAACAAUGCAGAAAACUACAUUCUGGGCAAAGUGUACCCGUACAAUAUCAAUGUUGUACCGGUACAAAACGGCUGACCGAGAGAGGGUUGCUCUCGGGUUUGCCUCUGCGCGAUCGUGUUACCAGUGACAGAUGAAAGUGUACCGGUACACUUUGGUCUGGCAGCAACUUUGAAAUCUGUUGCAAAUAGAAAUCAUUUGGGGGCCUAGUUGCAAUUGUGACACACUAUAUAUGACCCCAUUUCUCCCUUUUGCUGACAGCAGCAAAGAGAUCUCUCUCCCUCUCAUUUUCUUUCCCUCUCUCUCUCUAGAAGCCUUGCACCAAGGCAAAGGAGAAGGAGAAAAAGGCUUGGAGGCGAUAUUUUGGAGGUCUAGAAGGCUUUAGAAGCUCUCCAUCAAGGUGGAACUUGGGAGGAGCUUAGGGCAAAGGUGAGUUAUGCAAGAACAAUUCUAGGGUUUGGAUUUCCACCAUAAAACUUAGAAUUUUUGAGCUUCUCUCAUGUUUAGAAGCUUAGUUGAGACCUUGAAUACACGAAAUCUAUGGUUUUCUCAUGAGCUCUCAUGGUGAACUUCUAGGGUUCAUGUUAAAUGCCCUAGAAAUGAUUCGAAUGCCUUAGAAAUGGUAUUAGAGAGCUUCCUAGAUGAUUCUAAGCUAGUAUUUGCUUAGUUACAAGAUCAAUCUAGGGAAAAUCUAUAUAUAGCAUUGUUAGGGCAUGGAAUUUUGGGCUUUUGCCUCCGAUUGUAUCUGAGGUAAAUUGACCUCAUGAAAAUCUAAUUAGGGGUAUUUCCGACGUGUUGGUACGCUCGGUUCGGCCAAACGAAAAGACUAUGUAAUGGUUCUUAGUAAAAAGCCGAAUUUGGUUCAAAUUUGGUACAGAUCGUCGUAGCACACGGAAUAGGAGUCUAAAAAUCACGAAAAUCGAACCCCAAAUCCUUUGCUACUAUUCGAGGUGCGGGGUGCAUUCCGGAAUCGUUGGAUUCCCUUCUAUGCCUAUUUCACAUUUUUAUUGAGCAUUAUGUCAAUAGUCAUUCAUGCAUGAUAGGGUACAUUACAUGUGAAUAUUGGUUGGACUUCAAUUAUAUGCUUCUAACGUAGAUGAACAUUGAGAUUGAUAUAACCGUAGUGGACAUGCAGGUUGGAACCCUAUACUUGUGUGGAUGUGAGACCGAGACUAUGAUAAUAGUAAACAAAGGUGACAAGGACAAUAGAGACAAGAUUGGCAUUGAGACAUGUACCGUUAAACAAAAUUUAACCAUUAGUGGCAUAAUGACAAGAAUAACCUAAAAGUGGCAUAAUGACAAGAAUAACCUAGAAGUGGCAAAUAAGAUAUGGUAGGAACCUAUCAUUGGUGGUGGCAUUGUCGCUAGUAGCUAUAUAUCCUCAAGUUGAGGAUUGGAUCGAUACUCACGAUAAGUCUUGGCUUGAGGGAGGUAGCUCCCCCUCAAGCGGUGCGUUCCGAAAUAGUCACCACGGGGAGCGAGGUCCCCGAAGACGAUCCCCAGGGAGGUUCGAGUCCCCCGUUAUUAAGGAAUUUUGGGUUGUGAGUUAUUGGGGUUAACAAGGUUAACCGGUACGAUUAGGUAAAAGCCAAGUUAAAGUUUUGGACAGAGCAUGCAUGCAUAAUCAUUCUAUAUUGAUUAUUUAUCCACUGACAGUUUCCUUGCAUGCAUAGUAUUAGCAUUAGCAUUGGUUACAAUUUUUCUUUUCUUUGAAAUACUUAUGCCUAAAUAGACCUAGUGGGUAAGUCGGCGAGGUCGGUUGCCGAACCCACUGGGAACUUCGUUGUAGUUCUCACACCACUAACCCUACAGAUCCGAGCGCGAGCGGGGCGGCGGAGGAUCGAGGCAAGGGUAUUGCGCCAUAGCUAGUGGCCACCGGAGUACUUGCAAUUUAGUCAUUCCUUUUUGGUUCAUGUAUCAACUUUCUUUUGUUGAUCUAGAGAUGUAAAAGUUGUAAACAUUCAUGUAUUUUGGGAGAAUGAUUAUGAUGUAACAAGAAUUUAUGAAUGAAAGGAAAAUGGAUGUAAUAGCUUUAGUUUACUAGUAUUUGGUUUAAAUGUAAUCAAAUAUUAUGUAUGGUUGUAUGUUUUAGCUUAGAGCUUUCGCUUCCGUUGUUGCUUGCCCUCGUGCAAGCCUUGUAUAAUUGCAAAUAUCUUUGUUUGAUUGCUUAAUUAUACUUGUUGUUAGAGCCUUGGGCAGGGGAGGUCCUGUCCGUUCGGCGUCCGUUGACGUGGCCCGAACCCAAUUAAAUAGGUGGGGAACGGGGCGUGACAUUUACUAUCAUUGAGCAUAUCAUCUGUAGACUUAGUGGGUGAGCCGUUGAGGUCGGUAGCAGUACCCACUGAGGACUACUUCUUUUUAUAGUAGUUCUCACGUCUAGUUGUGGAUUUUUUGCAGAGCCUUUGGUUGCGGCUACUGCUACUGCUGAUACUGAUCGUGGAAAGGGUGUUGCGAGUUAGAGCCCUUCCUAACGAGUCACUGAGCUAGAGGAGUACCAGCUUCAGGUAGUUGUAGUUUUGGUUCUUUACAUACUGAUGUUAUACCUCGCUGGAGCGAGUAUUUUGUACCCGGAUGCUAUGUACGUAUUGAACCACUGUUAUGAUAUAUGUUUUAUUUUUCUAGCUGCUCUAUACUACUAGUUGUAGUGUUGUAUGAUUACAGGUACAGCUUCGCUUCGUAUACAGGAAAAAUUCCUUUGUAUACGACGGAUUUGUCGGCGUGCCUGGAAAAAUGAGUAAUCCGGAGCGUGACAUAUAUAUAUAUAUAUAUAGAAUUGAGCUAGAAUACUUUUAGAAGCACCAACCCCUUGGUGCUAUUAAGUUUCUAGCCCUUGGAUCUACUCCUUGAUUACUAAUAGCUUUUGGAUCAAACACUAUUCCACCUACCACUACCUACCACCAUCAUCUCAACCUCAAUUCUUUACAUCAAUUGGUUAAAACUCAAGCACCACCCCUAUGGUGUUUUGGGUAUUCUGUACCUCUACUUCUCUCUUCUAUAUAUUAUGAGAAGAGAGAGGGUUUGAGUAGAUACUCUCAAAGCGCACCAAGAGGUUGCUGCUUUGAAUUUUUAUUUUGAGAUGGAGUGAUGUAAGUUGGGUGAUGGUGGAGGGGUAGGUAGUGGUAGGUGGAAUGUGUUUAUCUAAGACUUUUAUUAAUCAAGAAGUGUCAGGGCUAGACAUAGAAGCAACGAGGAGUGAUACUUUUUAAAGUAUUCUAGUCAUAUAUUAUUAAUAUAUAUUAUUAUAUAUUUAUUUUUUAUUAUUAUAUUAUAUAUAAUAUUAUGGUCGCUAUAUUCUAUUAAUAGGUAUUGGCCUUGAUCCUAUCAAGUCGAUUUGAAAUGAUCGGAUUCAAAUGUAUCGGCACUGUUGAAGUUUGAUCUACCAUUAGAAUGUUUAGACCAAAUUUGUUUAUUUAAUCAUUAUAAGUUCAUUUAAGAGUUGAAAAAUGAACGGUCAAAAUGAAUACCUUCUUAAUAAUAGAGGUAGCUUUUCCAGUUAUAAUCAGGAGUUAUCAAACUUAUUAAUCUGCAUAAAGGCGAUUUAUAAUAUCUAAAAUUCAGCAUUUGAUUUUCUCACUGUUAAAAGCAAGCGCUCUAUAGGCGUUCAAAUUGUCGUUUUUUACGACACUUUUGUAUCACAUGUUAAACCAUUAUCAAAUAUUUAUUGAAUUCAGUUUCUAGUAUUUAAUAUCUAGACGAACUUCAAUCGGCUGGUUUAUCGUUCGGAAUCUCGAUCAUCAAGAAACUGAUUAGGACAAGUGCUCCGUUUCUUUAAUGAGAUAGUAGAUUGGCUAAAUUAUAAUUAUAUAUUUAUAUAUAUAUAAUUAUAGAGAGAGGAAAGAGAGAGGAGAGAGAGAGAGAGUAGGGUACUGUGUAUUUAGGGCAGCAGCCUUGUGCUCCUACUUUUAACCCAUCAAGUUUGAUGGGUGGUUAGAAUGAGAGAGGGAUGAGAUAUUAAGAGAGAAAUUUGAGGAGAAAUUGAGACACCCAAUUUCUCCUUAAUAUUUCAUCCCUUUCUCAUUCUAACCACCCAUCAAACUUGAUAGGUGGUUAGAAAGUUAGGAGCACAAGGGCUGCUGUGCUCCUAAUAGUAUAGUAGCCCUGCUCUCUCUAUAUAUAUAUAUAAAGUAGGUCUUGUGUGCUAUUAGGAGCACGGAGGCCUCCGUGCUCCUAAGCCGUUUUUGAUAAUGGAGUUUCCGAAUCAACGAUUGGAUCCGUUAGGCUUAAUCUAACAUAUUUGAAGUAUCUAGAAAAUAAAUUUUGGACUUUUCGAUAUCAUUUACCUAACGAUUGAAAGGGUUCAAAAUCAAUGGCUAAAAAAAAAAUCUUACAAAAAGUGGUGAUAUAACAUGAAAAUUUUUGAUCAAACAUAUUGAUCUUGCUGUAAAUAGUAUAAAGAAUUUUCUAUCAAAAUUUCAUCUGAUUUGAACACUUCUACACCGUUAAAUUUGCAAACGGUAUACAUCAACCAUUAAAAAUUGUUGAUUUUGAACCCUUUCGAUUGCUAGGAAAAUGAUACUGAAAAAUCACAAAAAUUAUUUUCUAGAUAGUUUAAAUACGCUAUCAAGUCUAACGAAGCAGAUCGUUGAUUCGGAAUCUCCAUUAUUGAAAACGGCUUAGGAGCACGGAGGCCUCCGUGUUCCUAAUAGCACACAAGACCUACUAUAUAUAUAUAUAUAUAUAUAUAGGAUAGGGCUACUAUACUCUUAUGAGUAUAGAGCCCUUAAUACUCAUAAGUUGUUUUCAAUGAUUGAGCUUCCAAAUCGACGAUCCACUCCGUUAAAUAUGAUCUGGAGUAUUUGAAACUUCUAGAAAAUAAAUGUCACGCCCCGAGACCGCAACCGAUUUGGUCCGGUCCGGGCGCGUCGAACAGACGCCGAACGAACAGGACCUCCCCUGUCCGCCCAAGGCUAACCAACUGAUCAUGUAUAAGAAUUUACCCAGGAAUUAAUUCAUAAAUACACAAUCGCAAGGAGCACCACCAAUGCUAACAACCAAGAGCAAGGUACAAGUAUGAGACAUACAAGUAAAUAAAGAGAGAAAGCUCUAUCUAUUACAUUCAUUCAACUUAAUACAUUUGAUUCCAUCUUUUACAUUCUUCCAAAAUAUAAAUACAAGCACUCAACCUCACCCUAUACAACAUCUACUCUCAAACAUAAAUACAAGGUAGAGCUAAUGCAAAAGGGUAGGUAACUAAUGCAACUAGGGCGCUAGGCCCUUACCACGAUCCUCGCGCUCGCCGGGGACACCCAAGCUCGAACCUGAAAAGAGUGGGGUGAGAACUAUCUUCCAUAGUUCCCAGUAGGUUCGGCCGCCGACUCUGCCGGUCUCCCCACUAGGUCCAAGUGGGCACAAGUAGAUAAACAGAUAGAUAGAUAUGGAAAGCUGUAAUAACAGGAUAGCAAGCUACGCUACCGUGCCCGAAUCAUGUAUAUGAUGGAUGCAUGCACAAUGAAAUAGAUAAUCAACUAGCUCUUCGUAUGUCCAAGAAGUAAAGCUAUUUACUUGUUCAUUGAUCUCGUGGCUCAUUCAAGGAUCCGCCUACUACUCACAUAGCCGUCUCGAUACUACGAAUCCGAGACCGUCUGCGGGACCCCACAUAGGCUAUCUCUCGGGACCCCAAAUAGGCCAUCCCUAUCCCAUGGGACCCCAUAUAGGCUAUCCCUUGUGACCGACUCCGGAGCGCACUACUUGUGUGGAGCGACCACCACAAGUCGGGAACAGAUAAUGAGUAUGAUCCGAUUCUCCCACCUCACGAGUGCCCUAUCCUCUAGGGGUUACUGUUACCAUAGUCAAUGGGUUUUAUAUACGCUGCGACUCACAUAUGCCACUCGUUCUUUAUUUCAGCUAUUGCAUCAUUCUUUCACCGCUGCACUAUAGGAUUACAAGUCUCGACCCAAUCCUCAUCAAUCCCCUAUAUCCAGCAACUAAGGCACAAUAUGAUAUCAGCUAGGAAAGCAUAAGGAAAGGCAAUGCACACUAUCCUACAAUGCAUGUGAACAUAGGAUGCAAGAUCUCAAAAUAUUAAGACAUAAAAGGGAGCCCGAUUGCUUCGGGAUGGACACCAUCCACCUCUCGACGAUGCCGCGAUGGUAGAAACUCGACGCUGCUGUCUUUGCACGUCGCUUCAACUCCUCGGGGCGGAGCGAGCCCUCAAGUACCCGAUUCGGCGAUUUCUCCGCACUCGCUCAUCGGAUCGACAAACCGUCUUCGCCGACGCGUUCUGAGACCUAGCAAUUUGGUUUACAACCUAUUAAAAUAGAUCAAAACCCUAGAUUUCCAAAAAUCCCAAAUCCGUGCCCUAGGUUAGCAACGGUGAGGAAAUCCGUGGUGCGAACUUCAAAUGCGAGCUCGAACCAUCUAUUCAUCUCCUCUAGGUUCCAUUCGAACCAUUCCUAAACAAUAAAAACUCCAAACCCUAGAAAUACCAUUAGAGGGUUUAGAGCUUACCUCUAUAUAAGCUCUAAGCUUGCUCUAGCUUGAAGGGAAGAGGGAAGAAGAUCUUCUUCUUCUUCUUCUUGGUCUUCUCCUUCCACUUCUUCUUCUUUUCCUUCCUCUCCUUCUUCCUUUUCUUUUUCUCCUUCUUUUCUUUCUAGAGAGAGAGAGGGAAAGAGUGUGAGAGGGCAAAAUGAGAGAAUGAGGGAGAGAAGAGGUCCCCCAGCCUCUAUUAAAGGCCAUUUUGCAGACAGCCCCCUCAACUUUUCACCUUCUAAACCAGCCUUCUCUCGGCAUUUUCACUGUGAGGGACCGGUCCUAGCUCGGGGAGACCGGUCCCCAAAAGCCCUCCAUUCGGGCAGAGCGGAUUUCGCGUUCGGGAACCAGUCCUUGCCUGAGAGACCGGUUCCUGGGAGACCGGUCCUUAUCCGAGAGACCGGUUCACGAGAGUUGGGUUUUCGGGACUUAGCCAAAUUUCGGCUAUUCUCGCUGGGCUAACGUUCGGGGACCGGUCCUUCACUGCCAGGGACCGGUCUCAUCGGGGACCCCCGCAGCCCAGCCUGAUGGGACCGGUCCCUCCCUGCCGGGGACCGGUCCCCGAGAGCAUUUCUGCCCCAGUGCAGAUUUUGCACUGGUGCUCUCGCGGACCUUUCCUUAAUGUACUUUAUGCAUUAUAAUCACCUUCGGACUUUUCGAAGUUUACACACUCGACAAACAGUCGAUUCCAUUCGAAGUCCAAUCCUCGUAUUUCGAGGAUUCACUUCCUUAUAAUAAAUUUCAUAAUUUUUUAAAAUUAUAAUAAAGUUCAUCAAGCGGAUAUAAAAUGAACGGUCAAAAUCGAAUGAUGUCUUAAAAAUGGAUGAUCGGAUCCUUACAUUUAAGAUCGGAGUUAUUGAUAUUUAUCUGUGUAGUGAAUAAAAUUUUCUAUAAAAAAUUCAACCAAUUUUGAUUCUUUUACACCGUUAAACUAGCAAAUAUCCCAUGCCGGUCAUUAAAAAUUAUCAAAUUCGUGAACUUUUGAUCAUAAGGUAAAUGAUGUUGAAAAAUUAUAAAAUUUGAUUUAUAGACGUUUUAAAUGCUCUAGAUAACGUUUAAUGGUGUGGUCGUCGAUUCGGAAGCUCUAUCAUUAAAAAUAACUUAUGAGUACGAAAGCGAUUGUACUCAUAAGAAUAUAGUAGCUGGACUCUCUCUCUCUCUCUCUAUAUAUAUAUAUAUAUAUAGAAUUAGGCUGGAAUACUAUUAAUAGUAAAACGCUCUUUUUGCUAUCAACUUUUUAACCCUUGGAUAAAAAAUUGUAGGGUCAGGAUGAUAUUAGUCGGUUAGAGUUGAGUGGUUAUUUAUAUAUAUAUAUAUAUAUAUAUCUCUUUCUCUCUCUCUCUCUCUCUCUCAGGCCGCCGCUAUGAUAGUUAUCGUGCUUCGUAAACUAUGAUAGUUCAAAAGACGGCAAUCUAAAUGGAGAAAAUAGUAAAAGUAGGCAAGCUAAUAUGAUAAGUUGAUUGGUGGGUAAGUUGGGAUCUCCCGGGUGUAGUAGGAUUGGCGUGUAGAAAUUAGGUUGCCGUCUUUUGAAUAUCGUGGUUCAGUAACCGUGAUAAUUAUCACAAGGUCGGAUCAAGAUAUGUGUGUGUGUGUGUGUGUAUAUAUAUAUAUAUAUCUCAACCUGACCCGAUGAUAAUCAUCGUUUUAAAGUAAUAACGAUGGUUAAAAAAUCGGAAACCUAGUUGAGAAAAGUAAUAAAGAUUGGUAACCUAAUUUAUGAUAUUGGGUCACCCCNNNNNNNNNNNNNNNNNNUAUAUAUAUAUAUAUAUAUAUAUAUAUAUAUUUAUUUAUUUAUUUAUUAUGUUAUAAUUAUAUAUAAUAAUAUAUGUUAUGUACUUUAAUUAUAUUAAUAUAGAGUUUAUAUUAUUGAGCAUAUUAGUUGGCGUACAAAACUAAAUCAGCAAAAUCUUACACUAAUUACUCUCUCUUCCUCUCUUUCACUUGCUCGCAUAUUCCUUUUUUAAAUUUUAUAGGGAAAACUUCAAAACCCCCCGUGGUUUCGCACUUUCUCACUUUAGUACCAUGUGGUUUAAGGUGUAUCAAUUUAGUGCCCUAUAGUUUUAUUUUUCUCUUUUUAUUAUCAAUUUUACUAUUUUUUUUCUUAAGUCAGUGACAAAAUAAAUUAAAAGGUACUAAAGUGAAUAUUCGAUAAACCUAAGUAGGUAUCUGAAGUUUUUUGUAUAUAAUUUAACAAAAUAUUACCGAAAAAACUACCGAAAAAAUAAAAAUGAAACAACAGGGUACAAAAUUGAUACACUUUAAACUACAUGGUACUAAAGUGAGAAAGUGUGAAACCAUAGGGAAGGUUUUUGAAAUUUUUCUACUUUAUAUUUUGAAAUAUUAGACAAAUUUUAUAUUAAAUUUUAGAUAAUAUUUUAUAAAAAAUUAAACUAUAAAUUUUAUGAUAUUAAGAAUUUCAAGCAGUUCGUUUAGGGCUCGAGCUCGCUCGACUCGAAGUUAGGCUCGUUUCUGCCCCGUAAACGCAACUCUCGAACCGCUUGCAUUCAUUUGAUCAAUAAAACACACGGAUAACGAUUGGCGCCAGUCUCGCUGAGACGAUCACCCCUACCUUAUCGGAAAUCAUUACCUUCCAUGAAAAGAAGAUCUGAAUUCGACUGAAAAAAAAAAAAAAAAAUUGGAAUAAAAAAAAAAAACAGGAGCAGAUGGCGUUCGCUGCCGGGGUCCCGCCCUCCGCCGUCCGAACCACCACCACCGCGACGCCUGCCGUCCCCCGCCACCGCCGCCCCAACCUCCAUCCCUUCCUUAGCCCUCUCCCCGCCUGCCGCCGCUCGGUCUCCACCCGCGCUCCGGCCCUCCCCUCGGCGGCGGACAUCUCCGCCCUCGACGCCCCCGCGGCCCUCGCCGCGGCCUCCGUGGCAGCCGCCGCCGCCGCCGCGCUCUCCCUUUCCGACCCCGAGCGGCGGCGCCAGCGCCAGGCCGCGGAGGUGGGCGGCGGCGACAAGGAGGUGGUCCGCGACUACUUCAACACGACCGGGUUUGAGCGGUGGCGCAAGAUCUACGGCUCCUCCACGGAGGGCGUGAACCGCGUCCAGCUCGAUAUCCGCCUCGGCCACUCCCAGACGGUCGCCGCCGCCCUCCGCAUGCUCCGCGACGCCGGCCCCCUCGCCGGCAGCACCGUCUGCGACGCCGGCUGCGGCGUGGGCUCCCUCUCCAUCCCGCUCGCCUGCGAGGGCGCCCUGGUCUCCGCGUCCGACAUCUCCGCCGCUAUGGUCGCCGAGGCGCAGCGCCAGGCCGAGGAGGCCCUCCUGGCCCAGCACUCCCCCGACGACAGCCCUUUCCGAAUGCCCGACUUCCAUGUCAAAGAUCUGGAAAGCAUCGGCGGAAGGUACGACACCGUGGUGUGCCUGGACGUGCUGAUACACUACCCCCAGGACAAGGCGGAGGCGAUGAUCGGCCACCUCGCCUCCCUCGCGGAGAAGCGCCUGCUGCUCAGCUUCGCGCCCAAGACGCUGUACUACGACCUGUUGAAGAGAAUCGGGGAGCUGUUCCCCGGCCCCUCCAAGGCCACGCGGGCAUACCUGCACGCCGAGCGCGACGUGGAGCGCGCGCUUAACAAGUUCGGCUGGCGGGUGCGGAAUAGGGGUUUCGUCUCUACGCAGUUCUACUUCGCCAAGCUCGUCGAGGCUGUGCCCGCAGGGUCGGCGUGAGAGGGAGGAGGCAAGUAACUGCCUUGUAAACUGGGUUGCGAGGAGAGGUAUGUGUUGUGUUCGAUUUCUGAGAUUCUAUUCCUCCUUUUCUGAGAUUUGUGUUCGAUUCUACGACCCGUUGAGGAGGCAAGUAAUUUCUAUUUGCAAAUAUUCCUAAGGUUGGUUGAGGUCCUGUUUGUCCCUUUUGAUGCCAAAUAUGUCUGUCUCUUGAUCGGCCCUUGCUUAGUCCUUGAUUCACUUCCUCUGUCUGUAAUGCUUUUAGAUGUGUAAUCCGGUCCGGUGAUCGUGUCUCUAACUUCAUUACUUCACGCUGGGACGUGGAAAUUGGAAGCGUUGUCAAAAUGUGCUGUUAAACACUUGGAGCUCUGUUUUGCCUUGUAGAUUUAGUUUUCUAAAAUUCGUUAGCUUCUACUUCGCUGAAAUUUAUUCUUUGGCAUAUAUCGAGUGCAUUAAAACCCUGUGCCAGGAAGUUGUGCAGGGAGGUCAUGCGAUUUAUCAGUCGGAGGUUUGAAACCUCAUUGUAGUAACAUCAGUAACUUAUCCACUCUUUGCUGCCGUUGUGUCGCAAAACUCUCUAGGAAGACGUGACUUGGCAAAAGAAAAAAAGAAAAGAAAGACCAAUAGGAGGUGUUAUUAUUGUUCAAAGUGAUUCCAUUGUGGUGAUUGAAUGAUACCGUGAGAUUGAUAAAUCAGAAAUUGAGAAUCCGUUAGUACGCAAGGAACCUUCUCGCAUGGAUGGUUGCCGUCUUGAACUAACUGAAACAAACAGACUUACAUUGACAAAAAUAACUAUAUUAUAUAUUUUCCUUGUAGUUACUUUAACCUCUUUGGAAGUUGAAACAAGUUAUCUAGUGGUGACGUGUAAUAUGGAGAUUUCUCUUUUAAUUACAAUGUGGAAAUUUGGCUGUAGCUAGACCUUAGUAAUUUCGAUUGUUUUCAGCACAGUAUGUGCUACCUAUGAGAUGAUGAUUUAUCAUUCUGCCAUUAAAUUGAUUUAAAUAUGGUGUGUCAUGUUGUUUUAUACAUCUUUCCGCAUUCCCUGUUAACCAACUACCAAUUGCCCUGAGUAAACAAAUUAUAUCACUUAAGCAAUAUGUGAUAAAUCACCUAUCAGGUGGAAUGUGUUGCAUUGAAUGCCAAAGGCAGCUACUAAGGAGUACUUCGAUAAGUCCCAGCCGGCACUAACUUAUAAUUGGAUCAGAAGGAAAAGUUUGAAGCAGUAGGAGUUUGUGUCAACUCUGAGAAAGCUUUUGAUAGGGUCAUCUGGGCGUUUCCUCAGGAAAAUUUUGCUGUGGUUAGGAUUUGAUUGGAAGUGGUGUGAGUAGAUCGAGCAAUGUACCUUCUAAUUGUGGAGAGCCUCUUCCUCCUACCUGUGGAGAGCCUUGCAAGGAUGAUGAAAUCUGCUGCUCAAAUAAUUUUAUAAAGGGGUUUGGCUCGUCUGGCGAGAGUAAAGUGGCUCUUAUACAAUAUAUAUGCAGAGAUAUACUCUUUUCUACUCUUGAGGAAUUUACAAUUUAUGUGGCUUUUCUUCGACUGGGCGUCAGGAUUAAAAAUCUAUGAGGAGAAGUCUGUUUUAUAUGGAUAGCAAAGCACUUAAGAUGAGAGACUAGCCAGCAUCUUGUCCUGCAAAAUUAGAUCAUUUUCACCUUGCUACUUGGCUCUACCUCUUUCGGAUAAGAAACUCAAGAGGCAGCAUUAUGGACGAUAAUUAAUAAGAUUGAGAGAAGAAUAGCUGGAUGGCAACCUAAACUCUUAUCGCAGAGGGGGAGGAUGGUUCUAGUUAACUCAGUCAUUUCCAACCUACCUCUGAUGCAGGGGAAAAGUUUUAGAAAUCAAAAUCUCAUGUUAAAAGCAAAAUCUUAUAAAUUUGAAACUCUCUAUGGCAACUAUAUGCUUUGUCACGGCGAGACUUAAACACAGAUGCGUAAAAAUAAUUUAUGAAUAAUGAAAAUCAUAAACUGCGCAAUAAAAUCCAGAUAAAAAGAUUGAAUUUAAAAUAGAGAACGAGAUGGAAAGUUGUACCGUCAAAAAAUCCGCAGUCGAAUUAGAAAUCGCAAGCGGUGAACGAAAGUCGCCAAAUUCCUAAAGAUUUCUUCAACGCUCUUUUUCUACCGGAGUACCAUCAUGCAUCGGUUGAAAGCGCGAUCUCCAAGAGGUUGAUAUUAGGGCCGAGGUGAGUGUACGAUCGGAAGAUGAGAACGACGGCUAGGGCAAACGGGGUCCGUAAACGUCUUUCUCUUUUUUUUUUCCUUUGACGUCUCUUUUUUUUUUCUUUCUUUGACAUUUUUUUUUUCUUUCUUUUUUUUUUUNUUUUUUUUUUUUUUUUUUUUUUUGUUGAAAGACGUACGACGGAACUAAGGAAUAAGAAUCUUAAUGGACCGCAUUUUCGCGGGUUUGAAACCCAUUAACAAAAGGAUCCAAUAAACUUCUUUUUCUCGUUUCUUGCUCAAACAACGCCAGAAUUUCGCAAACAGAUAGUCGAUUCGAAGAGAAAUAAAAAACGGAUAGAAUAAGGGACUCACUCCCUACGGACUCACUCCGGUCGAUGCGAAUUCGCGAAGGAAAACAUCAGAGAACCUUUUCUCGAAGAGUGGAAUUUCAUAAUAAUUAAUGUCUGUCUCAUACAGAUGGUCGGGGUCAAUUUAUAAAAUUUUCUACUAACAACUUGAAACAAACUAAUAACCAACUGAUAACCGUUCUUAUCUAAAAUACCAAUAUUCAAGCAAAUCUAAAAAUCUAAAACAGGAAAAAAUAUCUCACUAACUAGAAUAUCUAAACCUAUCCUCAUGCAAAUCCGGCUCGAACUCAAGUCGCACUCAAUGUUUGAAUCAUAGUGCAAUAUUGUCAUCAAGCCAGAUAUUGGGUCUUCGAUGACGGCGACAGGUAUAAGUCUGAAAUGGGGCCCGGUCCGCAUCAAUUCUCCCUUUGAAAAAUUCGACUCCGUCGAAUUGUCCGCAAUGCACUCUUCGUAAAGCUCUGGAUUGAUUUGUUGAAGUUCACCUUGGGAAAUCCAGGUUGCGUCCUCUUUGGGUCGAUAUAGCCACUUAACCAAAAAUCUACGAUCUUCACCAUCUUUUGUUGAUAUUAUUUGAUCGUCAAGGAUUGCCUCAAUAUCAUCUUUUCUCUGCAAAUGGGUUCUAGGAACAAGAGGUGAAGGUGACGAAGAAAGAAGUGAAUCUUGAUUUUCUGGGGCAUAGAAUAAUGUAAGGUCCUCAACAUUGAAGGUAGGAUUAAUUCCCAUGUUAGAUGGUAAUUCCAACAGAUAGGCAUCAGAUCGAAUUUUCUUAAGAAUUUUAAACGGACCAAUGUUCUUUGCAUGCAAUUUUCUAAUAGCUCCUUGCGGAAGCCUUUCAGGUCUAACUCGAACCAUCACCAUGUCUCCUGCAUUAAAUUCAACUUCUCGUCUGUGUUCAUCGACAUUCCUUUUAUAAUUUUCAUUACUCAAAAUUAUUUUUCUGCGAAUCUCAUGAUGUAAGUCUCGCAUGUGUUGCGCAAAUGAGAAUGCAUAUUCACUUGGCCUAUGCUCUAUUGGGAGGGGUAUCAAAUCAAUAGGUUUCUUUGGAUUAUAUCCGGUGACUAUUUCAAAAGGGCUCAUUCCAGUUGUUCGAUUUACAGAACUGUUAUAUGCGAAUUCUGCUUGUGGUAAAAUAAGAUCCCAAUUUUUAAUGUUUUCACCGACAAGACAUCGAAGUAGGUUACCCAAACUCCUAUUGACUACCUCUGUUUGACCGUCAGUUUGUGGGUGAUGUGAAGACGAGAAAAGCAAUUUUGUACCCAUGAUUUUCCACAAGGUUUUCCAAAAAUAACUAACGAAACGAACAUCCCUAUCAGUUACGAUCGAUUCUGGUAAUCCAUGAAGACGUACGAUUUCAGUCACAAAAAGUUUUGCAAUAUGUGUGGCAUCGGAUGUCUUACGACAAGGAAUGAAGUGUGUCAUUUUAGAAAAACGGUCAACUACAACAAAAAUUGAAUCGUGCUUUCUAAUCGUUUUCGGUAAACCUAGAACGAAAUCCAUACUCAGAUCUUGCCAAGGAGAAUGGGGUACGGGUAAUGAUGUGUACAAUCCUGUGUUCUUUCGACCACCCUUAGCCCUUUGACACGUUCCACACCGUGCCACGAUGCGUGCAACGUCCUUUCUGAGACUUGGCCAAUAGAAUCGGUCCUCAACCAUAGAAAUGGUUUUAUCUCGACCAAAAUGUCCGGCCAAUCCUCCCGCGUGCAAUUCCCACGCAACGAAAUCUCGCAAAGAACCUUGUGGGACGCAUAAGCAACUACCCCGAGAAAGAAAUCCAUCCCGAAUGACAAAAUUGGUGUUGGUUGGUUUGCCCUCUAAAAUUGAAGAAUAGAUCUCGCUAAAGUCCGGGCAUAAGGGAUACUCUUCCUUUAUACUAUCGAACCCAAUUACAUUCACACCAACAUUAUUUAAGGUGGCCAUAACUCGACUCAAUGCAUCAGCGGCUUUGUUUUCUAUUCCGGUUCGAUGUUUCAACACAAAAGUGUACUCUUGCAAAUAUUCAACCCACUUUGCAUGCCUCAGAUUUAAUUUCUUUUGUGAGUUCAGAUAUCUAAGAGCUUGAUGAUCGGAAAAUAAAACAAACUCUCUGGGUAAUAAAUAGUGUCUCCAAAAUUUUAAUGUCUGAACUAUCGCAUACAAUUCCCUAUCAUAAGUAGAGUAUUUUUGUUUGGCUUCAUUCAAUUUUUCACUAAAAUAGGCAACUGGAUGACCUUCUUGAUUUAAAACUCCGCCGAUUCCCACCCCUGAAGCAUCACAAGAAACUUCGAAAACCUUUUCAAAAUUAGGCAAUUUUAAAACCGGUGCUUUUGUCAUUUUAUCUUUGAUUUCUUUGAAAGAUUUUGUGGCAGAUUGUGUCCAUUUAAACUCUCCUUUUUUUAAACAAUUUGUAAUGGGAGCCAUUAUAGUACUAAAGUUUUUAAUGAACCUACGAUAAAAAGUUGCUAGGCCAUGGAAACUCCUAACAUCGUGAAUAUCUUUAGGCUCGGGCCAUUCCCUAAUUGCUCGCACCUUUUCUGGAUCAGCCGAUACCCCUUCUUUGGACACAAUAAAUCCCAAAAAGAUUACUUGAGGUUGCAUGAAGUGCAUUUUUUAAUGUGAAUGAAAAAUUUUUCUUUUCUUAAAACUUCAAAAACUUGGCGAAUAUGAUCUAAAUGUUCAUCAUGGGCACAACUAUAAAUUAAGAUAUCAUCAAAAUACACAACCAAAAAUUUGCCAAUAAAAGGUCUAAAAACCUGGUUCAUAACCCUCAUGAACGUACUCGGGGCAUUUGUCAAGCCAAAUGGCACUCAAACAAGCCUUCUUUCGUUUUAAACGCGGUUUUCCACUCAUCCCCAGGCCUAAGUCGAAUUUGGUGGUAACCACUACGAAGAUCAAGUUUUGUAAAAAUAGUCGCUCCAGUCAUCAUAUCUAGCAUAUCGUCCAAACGCGGAAUUGGAAAUCGGUAUUUAAUUGUGAUUUUAUUAAUAGCACGGCUGUCAACGCACAUACGCCAACUUCCGUCCUUUUUUGGUGUGAGUAAUGCCGGUACUGCGCAUGGACUCAUGUUCUCUCUCACAAAACCCUUUCUAAUCAAAUCAUCUACCUGACGUUUCAAUUCAGCGUGCUCUCUCGGGUUCAAUCUGUAGUGUGGUAAAUUUGGUAAAGAUGAACCUGGGACUAGAUCUAUUGCAUGUUGUAUAUCCCUAAGUGGAGGAAGUUCAUUGGGUAAUUCUUCAGGUGCAAGAUCACUAAAUUCAGCAAGUAGGGCUUUGAUCAUUAAAGGAGUUUCAAUAGGUUUAGACGAAUCAUGAACCUCUUUGACGACUAAAGCAUAAACAAUUUCAGAAUCAAUUUCUUUGCAAAAUUGUUUUUUAUUGAGAAUGUGAAGAGACUUUGUUGUUUCAAUUUGUGACGGAGGGUUUUUGAAAUCUUUAACUGAACUUGAAUUCGAAUCUUUUGAAAACUUUGAGCCUUUUGAUGAAAGCUUUUGCUGAGAAGGUUUGGCUGGACUUAAAAUUAUUUUCUUUCCAUUAUGGGCGAAAACGUAAGUGUUAGGUCGACCAUAGUGUAUGACCGAAAGGUCAUAUAGCCAGGGUCUUCCUAAAAGCACAUGCGCGACAUCCAUGGGAAGGACAUCACACCAAAUCCGGUCUGAAUAGGUAGCAAAGUUAAGCGGGACCAAACAACGUUUUGUAACGGGCAUAGCUGUCUUGUCUACCCACGCAACCUUGUAAGGAUUAGGGUGUGGCUCAGUUUUGAGGUUUAGGCGCCCUAUUGCAGCUUCAGAAAUUACAUUGAUGCAGCUACCGCCAUCAAUGAUGACCUUACAACUUUUAUCCCCACAUUUUGUGUAGGUGUGAAAAAUAGAAGUGCGUCUCCAAUCGGCUUCGUUCAUAGGUUGGGUUAGGACACAUCGCAUGACUUGUAAAGUGGUGUUUUCAUCGAACGCUUCGUUUGAUUCUAAUAUCUCUUCAUCACUAGGAAUUUCAUCGGCUGUGUGUGCGACUUCCUCUAAAUCUUCAAAAUCUUCACCCUCUGGCUGAACAAGCAUGUUCCGCCUUGGGCACUCAUAAGCAUAAUGACCCACUUGGUGACAGUUAUAACACCUACCCUGUGCAUUUCCUCGUUUGGUUUCAUCUGUAACUAAACCCUUUCCUUUAGAAUCAUGAUUCGGUCGAUUUUGAAAAUUGUUUGUUUUGUUAAAAUUCGUGCCGGUGUUUCUUGUGUUUUUAUCAGUCCAUUUUCCUGUAAAUCGUCGAGCGGGUGCCUUUAAAUAUUUUUCGUAUUCUAAGGCAAGUUGAAAGGCUUGCUCAACAGUGGCAACCCUAUGCGGUGCAAUUUCGCGCUGCAAUUCCUCGCGCAACCCAUUACGGAAUCGCGAAAGGGUUCGCUCUUCUUCUUCUCGAACAUCACAACGGACAUUCAUCUCAUCAAAUUUGGCCAUAUAAUCGGCAACUGAAAGAGAACCUUGCCGAACAGCAUUCAAUUGAUCGUACAACUGUUGCUUGUACGUGGAUGGCAAGUAUUUCUCUCUCAAUUUAGCCUUCAUUUCUGCCCACAAAGUGAUAGGCUCUUGGCCAAGCCGUUCUAAGUACCUUUCGACGCCAAUCCAAUAUUGCUUGGCGGCGCCAAUGAGUUUCAUUUUUGCAAAACGGACUCGUCGGUUGUCUGACUUUUCAUACCAGUCAAAAUAUUGGUCCAUGUCAAUGAGCCAAUCUGUGAAUGCCUUAGGAUCAAAUUUUCCAUCAAAAGUGGGUGCGUCAAUUUUAACUUUUUUUGUAAUGUCAUCUUGAAAAAUAGUAUUUCCGCCUUCUCGGAAAAGAGGGUUAGUUCGAGCAAUAUGCUGAAUUUCACGUGCUUGUGGAGUAUGUGAUGCUGAUGCUUGUAGAUCUGUUCCUAGAUUUUGUGCAGAAAGUCUCUCAGAGUUUGUCUCUAGGUUGGUAACCCUAUCUCGGAUGCCGUGAAUGUCGGUUGAUAAUUCAUUUAAUUUAUCCAUAAUUUGUUUAAUGGGAUCAUUUUGGUCAUCAGGAUUAGGAUUCCUAAACUGUAGCCCUGAUCUAGUUGUCAUGAUGCAAACCUAAGGCUCUGAUACCAAAUCUGAUGCAGGGGAAAAGUUUUAGAAAUCAAAAUCUCAUGUUAAAAGCAAAAUCUUAUAAAUUUGAAACUCUCUAUGGCAACUAUAUGCUUUGUCACGGCGAGACUUAAACACAGAUGCGUAAAAAUAAUUUAUGAAUAAUGAAAAUCAUAAACGGCGCAAUAAACCCCAGAUAAAAAGAUUGAAUUUAAAAUAGAGAACGAGAUGGAAAGUUGUACCGUAAAAAAAAAUCCGCAGUCGAAUUAGAAAUCGCAAGCGCUGAACGAAAGUCGCCAAAUUCCUAAAAAUUUCUUCAACGCCCUUUUUCUACCGGAGUACCAUCAUGCAUCGGUCGAAGGCGCGAUCUCCAAGAGGUUGAUAUUAGGGCCGAGGUGAGCGUACGAUCGGAAGAUGAGAAUGACGGCUAGGGCAAGCGGGGUCCGUAAACGUCUUUCUUUUUUUUUCUUUGACGUCUCUUUUUUUUUCUUUCUUUGACGUUUUUUUUUUUUUUUUUUUUUUUUUUUUUUUUUUUUUUUUUUUUUUUUUUUUUUUUUUUUUUUUUUUUUUUUUUUUUUUUUUUUUUUUUUUUUUUUUUUUUUUUUUUUUUUUUUUUUUUUUUUUUUUUUUUUUUUUUUUUUUUUUUUUUUUUUUUUUUUUUUUUUUUUUUUUUUUUUUUUUUUUUUUUUUUUUUUUUUUUUUUUUUUUUUUUUUUUUUUUUUUUUUUUUUUUUUUUUUUUUUUUUUUUUUUUUUUUUUUUUUUUUUUUUUUUUUUUUUUUUUUUUUUUUUUUUUUUUUUUUUUUUUUUUUUUUUUUUUUUUUUUUUUUUUUUUUUUUUUUUUUUUUUUUUUUUUUUUUUUUUUUUUUUUUUUUUUUUUUUUUUUUUUUUUUUUUUUUUUUUUUUUUUUUUUUUUUUUUUUUUUUUUUUUUUUUUUUUUUUUUUUUUUUUUUUUUUUUUUUUUUUUUUUUUUUUUUUUUUUUUGUUUGUUUUUUUUUGUUGAAAGACGUACGACGGAACUAAGGAAUAAGAAUCUUAAUGGACCGCGUUUUCGCAGGUUUGAAACCGUUAACAAAAGGAUCCAAUAAGCUUCUUUUUCCCGUUUCUUGCUCAAACAACGUCAGAAUUUCGCAAACAGAUAGUCGAUUCGAAGAGAAAUAAAAGACGGAUAGAAUAAGGGACUCACUCCCUACGGACUCACUCCGGUCGACGCGAAAUCGCGAAGGAAAACAUCAGAGAACCUUUCUCGAAAAAGUGGAAUUUCAUAAUAAUUAAUGUCUGUCUCAUACAGAUGGUCGGGGUCAAUUUAUAGAAUUUUCUACUAACAACUUGAAACAAACUAAUAACCAACUGAUAACCGGUCUUAUCUAAUACCAAUAUUCAAGCAAAUCUAAAAAUCUAAAACAUAAAAUAAUAUCUCAAUAACUAUAAUAUCUAAACCUAUCCUCAUGCAAAUUCGGCUCGACCUCAAGUCGCACUCAAUGUUUGAAUCAUGGUGCGAUAACGUCAUCAAGCCAGAUAUUGGGCCUUCAACGACGGCGACGGGUAUAAGUCUGAAAUGGGGCCCGGUCCGCAUCAACCUCUGUAUCCUUUUUCCCUCUUUUGGUCUCCGAAAUGGCCUGUUCGACAUAUUGAAGCACUUAGGAGAGCUUUCUUCUGGAAGGGAUAAUCUAGUGGCAGUGGAGGUUUAUGCCUAGUUCAUUGGAAGAUUGUGUGUGAGAGCAAACACGAAGGUGGCCUAGGAAUCGGAGACAUGGAGACCAUGAAUUUAUCUUUAUCAUCGAAUUGAUGGUGGCGGCACUUUACGGAACAAGACUUACAAUGGAUAAAUUGGUUAGAGCACUCUACUACAAAAGGAGAAAGCCACUUACAGAAGUGUCUACUUUUAGACGCUUUCCCAAUGAUGGAAGAAUAUUUUGGGCAUUAAUGAAAUCUUUAAGUGUGAUUUAUUUUACUUAGUUCGCAAUGAGAAGACAUUUGAGUUGGACGGACAGAUGGUGUGGUGAUAUCUCCUUACAAGCUUCCAUGAUGUAUAUGAUCAAGUUUUGCACAAGGACAUACGGGUGAGAGACUGCUUUUGACAAAAUGGAUGGAACUGGAGUUCAAUUCUUAGUGGCUACGUGGAGUUUCAGCCGCAUGAGAGUGCUCGUGUUCAACAAUCCAAAAAUUGCAUCUUAAGCAUCCCUUUGACAUGUGAGUAGGAUGUUGUGAAGCAGAGAUUGCCAAAAUCUCUAACCUUAACAUUACGAUACUUUAAAACUUCCUCAUAAUGUGGGAUUAAGGGAUUUCAAUACCCUUUAUAUUUGGAAAUUAAAUAUCCCAGUAAAGGUUAAGAUUUUCAUGCGGUUAGUUUUGGAAAAAAGAUUUCUAUCGGUAGAUAACUUGGUGAAAAGGGGAUGGGUGGUUGAACAAGUUUGUAUAUCUGUUAUGAGCCGAAUUCCUAGACCGUUGACCCGGUCAAUAAUCUGCUCCGGGAAGCGAGCAGAGAGGUGGAACGGCUUUCGACAAUGACUAUCAAAUAUUUCACCCAAGACUAGAUCAAAUGAUUCGGCCGAUGAGUGAUCUGUUCAGCUGAGUUCAAACGCUCUACUACGUUAUCAGCUUGGUUGGAAUAAGCUGAGUGACUUUGAUAUCGCAGAGAAAAAAAGGUCAAAAUCUAUUCGGCUUUAUUGAGCCGACUGAUUUCAAUAUGCUUUUUGAAAAGAAAGUGGUUUAUAAGUGGAUUACUCUCAGUUACAAAAACAUCUAUCUUAAAACUACUUUUAGGAAAAAUAAUGUCACGCCAUGAACUUCAGCGGAAGCUCACCAGUUGCGUGCACAAUCCGCCGUAUACACCACCACCACUAGUAUGCACCAGGCGUUUACAAUCAACGUAGUAAAAGUAUAAUAUUUUAACCAGGUAAUCAGAGCAAAACUUAAAAGUUCCUAAGCUUAUAUUAACACAAAACCAAAUUAUAGCUUUAAGUAAAGUACAAAGUACAUUCUAACAUUCCAAAUAUACAUCUCUGAACUAAACUAGAAUAAGCUUGUAUGGGUUCAUCUAUUUAACAUCGAGGAGGCUCUAGCUAGCCGCUGACCCCUUGCCUGGAACCCCCCGCUGUGGAAGGCUUUGCACAAAAACAACAAACAAAAGGGCAUGAGAAAUAUUAAACAAUAGUUUGCAGUGGAUAAGCCGCCGAAAGUGGCGAAGUACACCACUAGGUCAACUGAGGCAUGAGUAAACAACAAUAAGUAAGAAAUGUAAAUACAACAAAUAGAUAGAGUGAAUUACAAUAAACAUGCCUCACCAAGAUAUGCUUUCUAACAUAUCUUAUGUACUAGUUCAUCAUGUAUAAGUUCUAUGAGUCAUGCUAAUUAUUAGUUUAAUUAUCUAUAUGUCAAUAUUCAUGCAGAAUAUCAUCAUUAUAGUUUAACUAGCUAAUGACAUCAUGUAGCUAUCUUCCUACACUAAGGACAUGUUUGGUUCGCUUCUUUUUCACUCUGGAAUCGGAAUCGGAAUCGGAAUCGGAAUGGGUGAAUUCGUUUGUGGGUGUUUGGUACGCGGGAGUCCAAUUCCGAUUUUGAUUUCCGAGUGGAAUGGGAAUCCCCCAAUCACCUCUUUUUUCAAUCCGGCCUAGGGGGCCGGAUUGGAAGUUGAAUCCGGACGGAAUGGAUAUUUAUUCCGAUUAAAUUUAUUUUUUCAACUUUUUUAAUUAAACUAUGAGUUAAAAUUUAAAAAUUAAAUAUAUAAUUUUAAAUUUUAAUUUGAACUUAAAUUAAAAAUUAAAAUUUAAUCAAGUAUUUCGAAUCUAACUUAUGAAUUUGAAUUUAAAUUAAAUUUUAAUUUAUAUAAAGUUUUAUUCAAAUUUUAUUUCAAACUUAAAUUAAAUUUAUGGAUUUAAAUUGUAAUUUUAAGUUUGAAUUUGAAUAAAUCAAAAUUUAGUUUCAUAUUUUGAAUUAUCCACCAAACUUCAAAGUUUAUUUUUUUAAAAAAAAAUAGAUUUAAAAUUUUGACAUUAUUUCAAAAUUUUGAUGUAAAUUUUUAAUAUUUAAUUUUUAAUUUGAAUUUAAAUUAAUAUAUUAUAAAGACAAUAUUAGUAUAUUAAUUUGAUUNCAAGAAAAGCAAGGAUGAGGAGAUCAAAACCUACCAAAAUCCAUCAAAAAUGGAAAGAAAACUCAAAGAGGGAGAGUCUCACCUUGUCUCCACAGAAUUAGGGCUCAAAACCCUAUCUAAGGGGGCUGGGGUCACUUAUAUAGGUGUUGCAACAAUUGCAAAAACACCCCUCCACGUAACAGCCCCAAUCUGCACUGUGUAUCGAUACAUGGGUUUGUGUAGCGGUACACAACCCACGAAUAGUCAAACCCGAGCCUUGGGUUGGCUGGGAAAUGCUCUGCGUACCGGUACACGAGCACGUACCGGUACGGCCAUCAAUCCCGUACCGGUACAGCAAGCGAACCCGUAUCGGUACACAGCCUGCUGAAGGCUACCCGAGAGCUGACCAAAAAUCCAACUUUUUAGAUUUUGGUGCACAGCUUUAAACCACGAUUCUCGGGACUCGAACUAUAGGUCGGGACACUGUCAACGACCUCCCACAAAAUGUGGAAAAGCUCAGAACAAAAACCAGACACUCGACCUCGCUAUUUGCAAAGGUCCAGUGUAUUACAUUCACCCUUCCUAAAAAGGAGUUUCGUCCGCGAAACUCAAAAGCAAACACCAUACCUCAAGACUCCAUCUGAAAAAGAUAGGGAUAGCGCUCCUGCGAUGCGCUCUCUAGCUCCCACGUGGCCUCCCUCUCCCCGUGGUUGCUCCAAAGGAUCUCAAAUCCCCACGCAGUUCCACUGGUAAAGUCUCCAAAACGUGGGCUGGAUCAUGAAUGUACCUCCGAAGGACCGAUACAUGAAAGACGUUGUGCACGCCCGAUAGGUUCGGUGGUAGAGCAAGUCGAUACGCUACCGGACCUACACGCUCCAAAACCUCAUACGGUCCAAUGAAACGAGGGCUCAACUUUUCCCGAAUCCCGAAUCUCUUGAUUCCUCUAGUCGGCGAGACCUUCAAGAAAACAUGGUCUCCAACUUGGAACACCAAGUCUCUCCGCCGUCGAUCAGCGUAGCUCCUCUGUCUACUCUGUACCGUCAAAAGUCGCUCCCGAGCAAUUCGAACAUUGUCCUCGGCUUCCUGGAGCACAUCAGGGCCUAAAGCCAAUCUCUCGCCAACUUCACUCCAAUAAAGAGGCGAUCUACACUUUCGUCCAUAAAGUGCUUCGAACGGUGCCAUCUUGAUACUUGCUUGAUAACUAUUGUUAUAAGCAAACUCCGCUAUAGGUAGAUGCUGCGACCAUCCUCCCUGGAAGUCUAUCACACAUGCUCGGAGCAUAUCCUCUAAGGUUUGAAUGGUGUGCUCUGACUGCCCAUCACUCUGAGGGUGGAAAGCAAUACUAAAGUCCAGACGAGUGCCCAAGGCGUCCUGAAGACUCCUCCAAAAGUAAGACACAAACCGAGUGUCUCGAUCCGAUACUAUCGAUGUAGGCACUCCAUGAAGUCGUACAAUCUCAUCAAGGUACACUUGUGCGAGCUUCUCUCCGGACCAAGUAGUAUGAAUAGGUAUGAAGUGCGCCGACUUCGUCAACCUAUCCACGAUUACCCAAAUAGCAUCAUGUCCGGCCUGAGAGCAAGGCAAUCCAGUCACAAAAUCCAUGGUGAUCUCCUCCCACUUCCACACGGGUAUAGGCAGACUUUGAAGUUUUCCCGCGGGGACUCGGUGCUCAGCCUUAACUUGUUGACAAGUUAAGCAUCUAGCAACAAACUCCCCAACAUCCUUCUUCAUCCCGGGCCACCAAUAAAGCAACUUCAAGUCUUAUACAUCUUGGUGCCUCCCGGAUGGAUAGCAUAGGGUGCUCGAUGUGCUUCUUGAAAAAUAUUCUCUUUAAUUUCCGAAUCCGCCAGUACGCAUAUCCGCCCACGGAAUCGCAUCAACCCUUGGUCAUCCACAAGGAAAUCGCCGGUGCAACCAUCAACCAUCUUACCUUUAAUCUUUUGCAACUCCACGUCGGAAGCUUGCUUUUUUUUAAUCCUGUCCAAAAGAGUAGGUUGCACAACCAAGGUCAUCAACCUCAAAGGUGUAUCCGGAGUUACUACCUCCAACUCCAACCGCUUUAUCUGCUCGAUCAACUGCGGUUGGGUCACAACAAGCAUCGCUAAGUUCUCCGUCGAUUUCCGACUUAGCGCAUCCGCCACCACGUUAGCCUUGCCCGGGUGGUAUACAAUCGUCAAAUCGUAGUCCUUGAGCAGCUCCAACCAUCUGCGUUGUCUCAAAUUCAACUCCUUCUGAGAAAACAGGUACUUCAAGCUCUUGUGAUCCGUGUACACUUCACACCGCUCGCCAUAAAGAUAGUGGCGCCAUAGCUUCAAUGCGAACACUACGGCCGCCAACUCCAAAUCAUGCAUCGGAUAGUUCUUUUCAUAUUCCUUUAGUUGGCGAGAAGCAUACGCGAUCACCUUGCCAUCCUGCAUCAAUACACAGUCCAAUCCAUUAAGUGAAGCAUCACUAUAUACCACAUACCCUGCUCCAGCUACUGGUAGGGUCAAGAUCGGGGCAGUAGUCAAUCGUUGCUUCAACUCUUGGAAGCUUCUCUCGCACGCAUCAUUCCAAAUGAACUUGACUCCUUUAUGCGUGAGCCUCGUAAGGGGAGUAGAUAACUUAGCAAAUCCCUCAACGAAUCUCCGGUAAUAACCGGCCAAUUCAAGGAAACUCCAUAUCUCCGUGACGCUCGUCGGUCUCGGCCAAUCGUUGAUUGAUUCAAUUUUCUUAGGAUCCACAGCUAUACCUGAUCCUGAAAUCAAAUGUCCAAGGAAAGCUACCUCCCGAAGCCAAAAUUCACAUUUCUUCAACUUGGCAUAAAGCUCCCUUUCCCGAAGUACUUGGAGUACAAUUCUCAAAUGUUCCUCGUGAUCCACAUCGCUUUGGGAGUAGACCAAAAUGUCGUCGAUGAACACCACGACGAACCUGUCUAGAUAAGGCUUGAAAACACGGUUCAUUAGAUCCAUAAAAGCUGCCGGGGCAUUAGUCAGCCCAAACGGCAUAACUGUGAAUUCGUAAUGUCCAUACCGUGUUCUAAAAGCCGUCUUCGAUACAUCCUCGGGCUUGAUUCUCAAUUGGUGGUAUCCAGACUGCAAGUCUAUCUUGGAAUACACACACGAUCCCUGAAGCUGAUCAAACAAGUCGUCGAUCCUCGGCAACGGAUAUUUGUUCUUGAUCGUGACCUUAUUGAGUUCACGAUAAUCCACGCAUAGGCGAAGUGAUCCGUCCUUCUUCUUGACGAACAAAACUGGUGCUCCCCAAGGCGAGACACUCGGUCGAAUGAAGCCUUUAUCCAACAAAUCCUGCAGCUGUGCCUUCAGCCCCUCAGCUCUGCCUGUGCCAUCCUAUAGGGUACCUUUGAGAUUGGGGUAGCCCCUGGAACGAGAUCUACCACGAACUCAAUUUCCCUAUCAGGAGGCAUACCCGGAAGCUCAGCUGGAAACACAUCCUGAAACUCCCGCACCACCGGGAUAUCCUCAAUCCUGGGAGUGUCAUCCUCGCCCCUCAGUACAACACUAACCAAAUAGGCUAUACAACCUUUACUGAUCAGCUGCCUAACUCGAGACGAGCUGAUCGUCAUCGCAAACAGCGAACUCCGGCAUCCACUAAAUACCACCUCAGUCUGCCCCGAUUCUCUAAAAGUAACCAUGUGAUUCUUGCAAUCAAUCAUGGCAUAAUAUUUGGUCAACCAAUCCAUGCCCAAGACCACGUCAAAAUUCCCUAGCUUGCGCAACGCUAGCAAAUCUAUCGGCAUGAUCCAAUCUCCUACCCGAACAGGGCAUCGGGGGCUAUACUCUCUAAUAUCCAAAAUGUGGCCGGGUACUACAAUAUGUCCCGGAUGCAAUAAAGAAACCAAUGGGAUGCCAUGCAACUUGGCAAACAGCCGAUCUAUAAAUGAAUGCGAUGCACCGGUAUCAAAUAAAGCACGAACUCUAAUGCCAUCAAGUAAAAUGAUACCUGCAACCACAUCCUCGGCUGCUGCCGCCUCCUCGGUCUGAGCGACGUACAUGCGCCCACACGGGGCUUGUCGGGAUCCCUCGCUCUGGCGCUGGACAGGUGGCCGCCCAGGCUGGUACUGUGUCGACGGAGUCCCGUGGCUAACGAUUGGUAGAGCCGGUGCCGAUGCAGUCGACGGUGUCGGUGAAGAACCUCUCGGGCACUCAGUACGGACGUGGCCCUCCUGGCCACACUGGAAGUACCUGCCCGCCCGCUGUGGACACUGCGGCGGGUAAUGAGGACCAUCGUAGAUCACACACGGGGAAGGUCGGCGACGAUCGGAUCCUCCUCGAUGCGCUGCUGAGCCGCGUCCACGCUGCUGGAUCCCUGGAUGUUUCGGUGGCCUCCUAGAGUGUGUCUGGCUCGCACCCUCAGCCGUAGGCCUCCUGGCCUUGCCCCUGUCCUUAGCCUCUCGCUUCUCCUGGACAUCCGCCGCGCCGCUCUCCAUAAUGAGCGCGCGAUCCACCACCUCCCGGUAGGUUUAGAGGUUAGAGGAUUGCACGAACCAAAAGAUGGAUGGCCUCAGUGCUCGCUCGAAAAUGUGGGCCUUGUCCUCGUCGUCCCGCACGACAAAAAGCAAGCAAUGCAAAAGCCGAGAAAACUCCCGCUCGUACUCGGCCACAGUCUGGUCGCCCUGGCGCAAGUUGCGCAGAUCCUGCUCCAUCUUCCGCUUGACGCUGGUCGGGAAGUAAUGGGCCAAAAGAAUCUCCUUGAACCUCGUCCAAGUUAUAGCCGCCAAGUCAGUGCUGGAGUGCUCCUGGAGAUCCAACCACCAGCGGUAGGCCUCACCGUCCUUGUGGUGAGUGGCGAGCCAAACUCGAUCCCUCUCCUCCACGACGGUGUCGCGGAAGAGCUUCUCCAUAUGCAUCAACCACUUCUCCACGAUCCAGUGGUCGACCUUCUUGCCGUCGAAGACUCGGGGACUGCACCUCCUAAACUCAAUGAGGCACUCCAUCAGUCUGUCUCACUCCGCCCCUCAACCAUGGUAGCGAAUGCAGCUCCAACCAGGGGCCUUUGCACAGGUGGUGGCGCCAAAACCUCCUCCCGGGGCGCGGCCGCAGGAGCCGCACGUGAAGAACUGGGCGCGGGGGACGGCGCUCUCGGUGCGACGUCCACAACGGGUGCUGGUGGCGUAGGGGCCUGCGUCUCCCUAGAAGCUGCUGCCUGCUGCAGGAGUAAGUCCUCCGGGCGCUUCAUCUGUGCCUCAUGUCGGCGCGCCGCCUCAGUCUGCUGUCGGGCUGCCUCUGCCUGCUGAGUGACUAAAUCGGUGAGGGCCGCAAGCUGGCCCCUCAACUCACGGAUCUCGCCAAAUUCGGAGGUAGCGGAGGUCUCGACCUCCUCAAAGUUCGCCGCAUUGUCCGCCACGGCAGAUUGGGAGCGAGUAAUCGGCAUCGUCACUACAAAAUAUAAAAGCGCAAGUUAGUAACCCACGCUAUCGCAUCCCCGCUCAAAUAGAUAGAACCCAAAUCAUGCGAAAGUAAGAAAGUGUCCUUGACCCACCCGUAGGCUGUCUGGCCGAUGCCGAGCCUAAUGGCCCCGUGGUAGUCAUCAUCCCCACCCUAGGAAUGAGCCUGGCCCACAGCAAUCCACUUCGGCGCCCAAUCCCGCACGGCGAAUAUGAAUCGCGAUGGCUAUCUCCGGAGUGCCGGCUUGUAGGGAGCGACCCUCACAAGCAUGUGCGAAUGAGUACAAUGGCAAGUAGUCAUAUGUCCUGUCAUAAGUACCAAGUCCUCAUGUCUAAUAACAUGGAAUGUAUCGAAUGUCCCAAAGACCUAUCUCUAUGACAUUAUGUCUCUAUCAUGAAAUAUAGCAGAUGUACAAUGGCCUAGCGUUAUGUCUCUAUGUUGCAGUUUCAUAAUUUACUAGUUCCAAGUGCCUCUUGAUGACACUUGUGCUAGUAAGUCCAAACAGAGUAUAAUGUUUUCAAUACACGAGUAUGAGCUAAAUUAGCAUACUAGACGAGAAUCCCAUUCGUCCACAUGAACACCACUCACAUGCAUGCAAAUAACCCUGAUUACUCUACUAUAUAGAGUGAAAUUUAACUUACACAUAAGACAUGCAUUUUAAGUGUUCUAAAAUUCACAUAAAUUCCAAUUAGUAUAGAAAUGCAUUUAAAAAUACUUUACAACAAGUAUAGAGAGCAUAAGGGCCAUUUUGCCCCUUUUCUACGAAGUCAAACCCACCGAUUUUUUGAACUCUUCGUUUCGCCAAACGAAGGUGUCCACUAGCCUCCUAGUACCCUAAGGAUGUAGGAACAAGUGUUACCCAAACGAAACGAACAACGAAUUGCUCAAUCAUUAACCAAUUCGGGUUAGGGUUGAAGAAAACUCACCGAUUGCGAAGGAAGCUCUCUCGAUCUCCAAAUGGGAGCUAGAGUCCUUCCAACCUAACCUAAACGAAGGUUCUAAAGCCAUCAAUUUGGUUCCAAAGCCCUCAAAUCGAAAAACUUCCAUUUCUAACCCUAAUAUCUAAAAUCUAGGGUUUCAAUCAAAAGAACCAUCAAAACAUGCACCAAAAGGGAAAUACAUGUUACUAACCUCUCUAGAAGCUCCAAACUAGGCUCCAAUCCAAAUGGGGUUGAAGAUAUGUCUUUCCAUUUCCAAACGGGUAUAGAUAGACUUUGAAGCUUUCCCGCCGGAAACCGGCGCUCCGCUUUUACUUGUUGGCACGUAAGACAGUGCGCUACGAACUCCCCAAUAUCUCUUUUCAUGUCCGGCCACCAAUAAUGCAUUUUUAGGUCUUGGUACAUCUUAGUGCCACUCGGGUGUAUGCUAUAGGGAGAUUGAUGCGCUUCUCGCAUAAUCGCCUUGCGAAUGUCUUCAUUCUUAGACACCCCAACGAUUUUGGAAUCGAAGUGCGCCAUCGGUCCCAAUGCUGAAAUCAUCAGUACUACCACUUUUAACUUCACCUCGUACCUUUUGGAGAUAUGCAUCGGAAGCUUAUUGCUCUUUAAUCUUCUCCACCAAGGUUGGUUGAACGACCAAUGCGGCAAGACUAGCUGGCACUCCCGGAGCUACUACUUCAAGACAAAACCGUUGCAUCUCUUUUUGCAAUGACGGUUAGGGUGUGAUUGCUGUAGCUAAGUUUUUUACCGAUUUUCUACUUAAUGCAUUGGCCAGGACAUUGGCUUUUUUCGGGUGGUAUAGAAUAGUGACAUCAUAGUUCUUUAGCAACUCUGACCACCGCCGCUGUCGCAUAUUCAAUUCUUUUGGGUGAACAAGUAUUUGAGACUCUUAUGAUCUGUGUAAAUCUCACAAUGCUCACCAUACAAAGUAAUGCCUCCACAACUUUAGCGCGAAUAUCACUACGGCUAGCUCAAGGUCAUGUAUCGAGUAGUUCUUUUCAUAACUCUUCAACUGACGAAAAGCAUAAGUAAUCACUCGUCCAUUUUGCAUCAAAACACACUCGAGACCACUAUACGAAGCAUCACUGCACACCACAAAGCUCUCCUCCGGAUUUGGCAAAGCAAGUACCAGGGUCGAUGUUAAUCUUUUCUUUAACUCCUCGAAGCUCCGCUCGCAAUCGUCACUCCACACAUACUUCACUCCUUUGUGCGUGAGGCGCAUUAGUGGAGUAGUUAUCUUAGCAAACCCCUCCACGAACCGCCUAUAAUAUCCCGUGAGUCCAAGAAAACUGCGGACCUCCGUUACACUUGUCGGGCGAGGCCAAUCCUUAAUUGCCUCAACUUUCUUCGGAUCAACCGAGACGUCGCUCCCGGAUAUCACAUGGCCUAAGAAGAUAACCUCCGAAAGCCAAAAAAACGCACUUCUUUAGUUUAGCAUAAAGCUUCUCUUUUCGGAAUAUUUGUAACACUCUUCUCAAAUGCUCCUCGUAUUCUUCCUUGCUUCGUGAAUAAACCAACACGUCGUUAAUGAAUACCACGACGCAUCGAUCCAACAACGGUCGAAAGACUCGAUUCAUCAAGCCCAUAAAUGCUGCCGGGGCGAUAGUAAGCCCAAACGGCAUUACCGUGAACUCGUAGUGGCCAUAUCGCGUACGAUACGCCGUCUUGUGCACAUCCUUCAGCCUGAUCUUCAACUGAUGAUACCUCGACUGAAGAUCAAUCUUCGAAUAUACCCGCGACCCUUGCAACUGAUCAAACAAAUCAUCAAUCCUCGGUAACAGGUACUUGUUCUUGAUUGUUACCUUGUUCAACUCGCGAUAAUCUACACAGAGUCGAAGUGUUCCAUCCUUUUUCUUUACAAAUAGCACCGGAGCUCCCCACGGUGACACGCUCGGCCUCACAAAGCCUUUAUCGAGCAAGUCUUGCAACUAGACUUUUAGCUCUACUAACUCCGCCGGUGCCACUCUAUACGGAGCCUUCGAAACUGGCGCCGUCCCGGGAACCAAGUCAAUGACGAACUCGAUCUCCCGGUCCGGUGGCAAUCCCGAUAACUCGGCCGGAAACACAUCCAGAAACUCACAUUGUAACAUACCAAACUUCUAUAAUUAUGAAGUUACGGUGUAUGCUAGUUUGGAAACCCGUUAGAAUGGUUACGCUGAAGUUCGGGAGCGUUCGGGCGCUUUAGUGCACAUUAGGCGCGAAAACGGAACCCGAAAAGCUAUAUCAGACGUUUCCCAAAAUCUGGCAAGGCGUGGAUGAAAAGAUGGUUUGAACGCGCUCGAAAACAUGUUUUAGGAGUCUCGGUCCGAUUUGAGAUGAAUCGGAGACCCACAGAGUAAAAACGAGCGAAAAUGGACUAAAAUUGGCGAAAAGGCUGAAAUUUUGGCUAAGUCUGGAAGUGCAAAAUUUUUUUACCUACGGGGUCCGGUCCCUCAAGCCAAGGACCGGUCCCCGAGACCCGAAAAUGCCGAGAAUGAGCUGGGGCAGUGUGUUAAACAUAGAGGGGUGUGGAAGGUUAUGUGCAAGUGUAUAUUUGUGAGUGUAUAUGUUUGAGGGAUGAGGUUUAGCCCUCAUUUCCUCUCAACCCAACACAAAAUGAGAGCUCUUUCUCUCUCUAGAUCUCUCUCUCUCCUUGAGGUUCUCCCAUUGUCACAACCCGCGACCACCCGCCUAUUUGGCUAGGUCGCGGCGCCGCCGACAGACCGCCGAACGGACAGGGUUUUUCCUGUACUGCGGACAAAGUCUCCCCUGUACGUUCAAGGCAUAGUAAUCAAUACAAUGUGCGAAGUUCCAACCAGGAACACAUUUCAAUCAAGAUUGCAUAAUGGAAAGUAUCAAACAAUAUAACACAUCCUAUAUUAUUACAUGCAUUCACAUUCAUACAUUUUUACAUCACAAUUCUUAUUUGAUUCUUACAUUAGCUUUCACUUAACUUCCAAAUACAAUCCGAUUUAACAUGGUUAUUACAACUUGAUUCUUUUCAUUCUUUACGUCCCUAAAUAAAGCCGACUCAGGGUACCGCUAUCUCUGGUCUCGGUGGUUGGGCACUAACUAUGAUGCUACGCCCUCGCCUCGCGCCGCCGCGCCGCUCACGUACGAACCUGUAAUACCCGAAAACAACAUGGGGUGAGAACCAACUCCAUGGUUCCCAGUGGGUACUGCCACCCAAGGGAAAAGCUCGACCAAUAGGUCCAAGGGAGGCAACUGUAACAAGUUAGUCCAAUAACAUAUAACAGAUAUUUAUACAUUUACUCGAUAUUGAACUACAUGUCAUGCCUCUCAAUAUGCAAAAUGAAACUAUGCAACUAUACAAGUAGAAUAAAUGAUUUUAUUUUCUAUCCAUAGCUUUUCCAUAAUUUAUACAUCUUGUCACUUUACAUCAUUGGUUAUUUGCUCCUAAGGUUUUCCUCUACCCUAGCCAAGCUAACCACCCGACUCGGUCUCGAGUCAAUCAUCUGCGGAAUACCGCAUACAUCCAGGCUCAAGGUGGAGGACAUCCCACAUGCACCUCAGCCAUAAAUCCACUCAACUGGAAUACCAAUUCAUAGCUCAUAAUGCAUACUUUCACACAUUCACUUUGGCCUUUACCCAAUCUUUCCGGGGUUCAUCAAGUUCGCCCCAAGCUCACAUCUCACAUGUCCCAUUUACCGGGAUUAGCAUUAGGAAAUGCCCCUGAGGGAUCCAUCCCGUCUACCGAGGAAGGCACAAGGCAUUGUCACCCGAGGGAUCUUCGCCGGGCACUCUCACCCGUGGUGUCUAUACUCCGGAGUACACCGCCUGUAGAGGAGCGACCUCGCACAAGCCGGAACCGAUACAUGUGAGUACGAUCCUAUCCUCAAUUUGAGGAGGUAUUGCCAAUCUGUCUCAUAUCUCAAUGCCUCAAAGUCACUUUGGAUUAAACCUUAUUUUACUACUCUUUUCAAUGUCAAUCGAAUCUCUAUAGUCGAUGUCACCAUUGUUUACUAUUGUCCAAGUCCUCUCUCGCAUUCAUAUGCACAUAGGGUUCAUUUACAUUCGUACCUUUCGUUCAUUUCCCACAUGGUUUUUUACCAAUUUACAUUGUUCUUUAACACUAGGUUCAUGUCCAACCUAUGUUCUUUAACACUAGGUUCAUGUCCAACCUAUGUUCUUUAACACUAGGUUUAAUGCCACACAUGAUUCCAACCUAUGUUUACUAACACUAGAUUCAAUGUCAUUCUUGUCCAACCUAUGUUUAUUAACACUAGGUUCAAUGCCACUCGAUCUAGUUGACAUCCUAGUUGUCCAAUUCGAGUAUUUCAUAGUCCUCAUGAUGCUAACCAUGCCUUCAUGUAAUUAUCUAGCAUAUAUAUGACAUGCUUAUAAAAACUAGCAUUCUUUACAUUACAUUAUCAUGCAUUCUUACAUUUCUAUAUUACAUCAUUAGCAUGCAUUCCUUUUAGCAUUUACUAUAUGCAUCCAUCUAGUAUGUUCUACAACAUAUCAUUAUGCAUUCCUUUUAGCAUAUUCUUAUAAUGUUAACAUUCGUAUGCCCUUUAUCUUAUGCAUUCAAAGCAUUAAUCAUAUGAGUUUAUCUAGCAUUUCUAUAAUAUGUUAACAUGCAUUCUUUUCACAUUCUUACAUUAUGUCAAUAUGCAUUCCUCUAGUAUUUUAUAUUAUAUGUCAACAUGCAUCAAUAUGAAAUCUCAUUUCUCUUAGACAUAGAGGCGACCUAGUCGCUUCGGUAAGCACAACCAACCUCAUUUCGCAUUCCGAUUGCUUGUCGACACUUGCAAUCGACCUCCCGCGGCACCCGGCACCCUGUUUGGCCCGAUCCCUUGCGCGACCACCCAAACGGCCUCCAAUCCACGAUCCGGAAAUUAAAGGUCUUCGGUUAUGUGCCACGGUACUUCAAAUCCAUUUUCAUGAGUUUACGAUAUCGCCUCGGCCCUCCAGGCAGAAACGAAACCUAAACGUCUGUUUCUUUAAUAACUUCGCAACGGCUCGACGAAUCGCCAAACCGACUUCGCCAACGCGUUCGUUUACCUAGCAAUUAGGUUUACAAAGGGUCAAAUUAGAUCAAACCCCCAUAUUUUACAAAACUCAAUUUUUGAGCCCCUAGAUUACAACCAGGCAAGAAAUCACUAAAUUGAUCCAUGAUUUGAGCAACAAUCAUCUAUUUAGCAUGCUAGAAUAGCUCUAAAUCCAUUUUUGGAGCUUAAAACCCAAACUAGAGAGAAAUGCCAUUAAAGCUCUUAAAGCUUACCUUCAAAGCUUACUCUCCAAUGGCUAAAGAGGAAGAUGAAGAAGAUGACCUUCCUCCAAGCUUCAAUCUCCACCAAUUCCUUUAAUUUU
rnacentral:lncRNA from 1 species